rnacentral:lncRNA from 1 species
UGGUGAACCCAUCAACGCGAUUUUGGGUGUUGAGGAGGAAAAUUGUACGAUCAGAACGUUUUGGAGGUUGUGGGGUUCCCAUCUUGGCAAUGAUUUUCUUGGUGAAUGCUUUGCUACGUUCAAAAUCAUUCCAAAGGGGUGUGAGGGGUGGUGGAGAAGUUGGAAAAACUGAUGCAGAAAUUGUCUUGUAGUUUAGAAUGGUUAGACCUUGUGUGGUGUUAGGUUUUCUUCCUCUAACCCCAAUUGAAAGCCAAUAAUUUUUCUUUGGAUCUUGAUCUGUGCGAAGGAGAACUGAGUAGGUCUCACCAGAGUAAAUAUCCAUAUCAUCAAUCACAAAUGGUGUAACAUAGUUUCCAUCAGCUUCCACAACAACAAGUUUGUGAUUCUACAACAUAAAGAAAUUUGGUGGGACUGUUAGUUGAUUCAUAAAAGUGAAAUUUAUGAUGGCACCAAUUGUAUAAUAAAGUGAGAAUUCAUUCGCCAAUAUGUCAAAAGACUUUUGAGAAUUGAUUUGCUUUCUCUUUGAGGAAUUUUGUAAACUAGUUUUCUGUUAAUUAGAGUGUAUGAAAUAUAUAUUGUAUGUUAUAAAAGGAAGAAACACAAUUAGUUUGUUUCAGAAUAUUUAUGAAGAAAUCACUGUUUACUUUAUUCUUUUUAUUAAUUUAUAUUCACUUAUUUUCUUACAGAAUUUUUUAACUAGUUACACCUUCGAAUUAUAUUAAGAAAAUAAAUUUACUAGAACUUGGUAGUAUAUAUUUUUCUUCAAAAAAACAAGUACUUGUUAAUAUAUAUUUUAGCAAACCCUUGGAAUCUUAAUGAUUACAUGUACUUUUGCUUUUAUUCUCCUAAAUUUUCCUAUAUUUUCGACACGUCAUUAUAUUUUACCAGUGUGUGUACGACAGCAACUCAGUGAGUCCCAUUGGUAUACAUAAAACCCUAAUUUCCAAAUACAGACCAUUCUUUGAAGGACAAAUAAUUGCCACUAUUUUCUAACACCUCCCAUAGUUACCUUUAUACAUCUAUUUAAUUCAACACUAGAAUACUUUCCUUUCUUGCCACUAUUCCCAUUUUACUUUAUUCUCUAAGGUGUUUUCUUUUGGCACUACUUUUACAAUACAAUAAUCAAUAGUUUAUGUACAGAGUAUGUAAUACUUUUUUAUAUUUUCUUUUAAUUUGCAGAAUAACUUUUUAUAGUUAUCAUAAAAAUCAUAGUCAUCCAUAACUUCUAACCAAUUGUGAAUAUAAAUUUUUAUAACUGGUAUUAUAUAAAAUUAAAUUCCCAAAAGCUUGCUGUUGUUGAACUUUUUUGAAUAGGAAAAAUGCUUCAUAUAUUUGACUAUAUAUAUUUGAUAUUUUUCCACUUUAAAAAAUGAUAGAAUCUGUAAUUCUUCUAAAAAUAUACACAAAAUUAACGUGUUAAUUAUGUGCAACUAUUAUUUAUAGUAUAAAUUUCUAAUCCAUUAGACUCCUUCAAAUUCCAAUACAAUGGUCUUUUUUUUGGAUGUACACAAAAAAAGUCAUGCAUUCACAUUAAACUUUUUUUCUUAUAACACUACAAGAAAAUCAUGAAAUAGAAACCAAUUUUUAGAUACCAAAAUAAUUAGUUACAAUAGAAACUAAAAUAGAGACCAUUUUAGAAACUAAAAAAAAAUUAGUUUCUAAAUUAGUUUCUAUUGUUUUCUAUUAUUGUUAAAUAGUUUCUAAAUUGAUAUCUAAUUAGCAACUAAGGUUUUAAGUACCAAUUAUUUAGUUUAUAAAUUUGGUAGAAAAACCUUGGAUGCUAAUUAGAUACCAAUUUAGAAACUAUUUAACAAUAAUAGAAAAUAAUAGAAACUAAUUUAGAAACCAAAUUUUUUUUAAUUUUUAAAAUGUUCUUUGGUUUCUACAAAUUAUUUUCUAUUUCAUAAUGUUAUUGUAAUGUGAUAUAUGAAAGGUACACCAUUAAAACCAUCUUUUUCUAUUACGUGUUUUCCAUUUUCAACUUCCAUGAUGAUACGUGAGUCAAGUCUCUAUUACCUUAACACCAACUAACACUUAAAUUAUUAUAUUAUUAGUAACCAAAAAAUUAGUAAUAAUGUGAUGAAUUACUGUGGGUUUCUCCAUUUUUCUCAUUUUGGUUUGAGUGAGAAUAAUGUAAAAUAUCUUAUACUAAUUAACCUCAUCAAACGUCUGAUGGUCACCAAUUAAGAUGUAUGUGCAUGACACUUUUACGAUUCAAAGUUAAAAAUAGAAAACCAAAAAAAAAUAAGAUGCAAUAUAUAUAGCUAGGUUAAUAAAUAUAGAAAAAUGAUACAUUAACAUUAUUAUAGUAAACAAUCCUUUUUUUUUAUCUAAAAUUUCAAUUUUUAUAUGAAAUAAUAAAAAAUAUAUUUUUUAUAUUAUUAAUUAAAUAUUGUAUACUGAACAUGUUGUCAACAUAUCAUUCUAUUCUUCAUAAAUAUAGAACUCACCGAAAUGGCUAAGUUGAGUGCAGCAAGGGAAGUGGUGCUGGCAACCCUAAUCCUGUAGGUCUUGUUUGGCUCUACAUGAAGAAUUUGAGGUGCACAUUCUUCACCACCUUUAAAUUGGCACUCGGGAAGAGUGGUGUUUAUGAAUUUAGCUGCCAGAGAACAAUUGAAUUGUCCCCUUCCAUUGAUCAGCAGACUCUGAAAUGGUGAAUUUUUUAGUAAAGAGUGAGAAUUAGAUCUUAGAAUUUUUUUAUCACAAUGAAUUAAAUUAUUUAGAGUAUUUGAAAAAUACUCUAACCGCAUAUAAAAAUAGACAGUUAUAUUCUUCGAAAAAGAUAAAAAAAAUAUCCUCUUUCACAAAAAAUCUAUUCUACCCCAAAAGGGAAAUUCCUGAUUUUAUAUGAUGAUACAAGCAUCAACAUUACAGACUACAACUUUUCUCAAAAAAACUAAUAACUCAAAUUAGUAUGGCUACAAAAACCAAACAUGCCACUGAUCAAUAGUCAGUUUCUAGAAUGUGUAGGUUCCUUUUUUUUCUUUGUAUGUUUCUUUUCUUUCUUCCUUUUGAGUGAAUAAAAAAGCUACUACUAAUGCACUAUUAAAUUGCACAUUAUAUGUAUGUGGAACAGUCUGAAAUUAAAUAAUAAUUUUUAAAGUAAUGUGAAACUACAUUGUCUUGAAAUAUGUUUUGGAAAGGGAAGAGAAAAAGAAAAAGAAGAUAGGGUAGGUUGUGGAGGAUUCAAAAAGAUGCCAUAUUAUAAAAAUCCAACCCUACUUUAACCAAAUGGGUCACAUGUGCAUCUUUUUUCAAGAUUACUUUGGGAAUUUGAUAUGAUGUUUUGAUUUGGUUCUGAUACCUUUAAAUCACAAUCAUCAUUUCUUUUUUUGUCAUACGCGGAGGAAAAGUUGACAUGGUUAUUUCAAUUGCUUCAUGGCAUAAUAUAAGCCUUUUCUUUUAUUUAAUUGCAUUUGUUUAAUAGCAAGAUUUUAGAGUUUUAUAUUUUCAAUUGUGUUAAUUAAAUAUUUUUAAUAUAAUAAAUCCGCUAUUUAAGAUUUUAUUUAAGAUUUUAAGCGUAACAAUGUGAAUGGAAUGUAUAAGUAUCUAAAUGUGUCAUUUUCAUUAAUGUUAUAAGUCAUUAUUACAUCAUGAGAUUAUUGUCAGGGUAAUUAAAAUCAUUAGAUUACUAGAUAUAGAGAAUUCAUUAAAAUAAAAUCUAAGAGAUUAAAAAUACUAUAAUUGUAAUACUUAAUAGAUCUAAAGUGUUAUUAUUAUUUUUAUUAUUUUUUUAUUACUAUAUAACUUAUAACAAUUUAUAUAAGAUAUGCAAAAGGUAGAAAUUUUUUUUUCAGGUUUAUGCUUGAUUAGAACUAUUGAUGACCAGUUGUCGGUCUUAUGUCAACAGGCUAUAGUUUUGCAAAGAGGUAAGUUUUAAAAUGUCUACACAUAUUUGGAUUAUAUAUAUGCUUUGGACUUUUUUAGGAGGUUAGGUUGAAAUAAUAAUCUUGGUAUAACAUUCCCAAAAUUCAUCACAUUUAUUUAUUAUUUUACUGAUAAAAAAUUUGCAAAAAAAAUAGAAUAAAAUGUUCCUUCUAUUAAUCUAAUGAAGUUAUUACCUGAGGUUCACCAAUCCAUUUUAAUGGUAUGGAAGAGAGACCAACUUCUUGUUCAUGUGAACUGGUGUGCCAGAAAUCACUGAGAAGGAGGUUGAACUCACCAUCAUAAUGAAAUGCUUCUUUUUGUCCCUUUGGCAAAUCUACUAUCAGUGAACCAUACAACCCUGCUGAUCUUUGCAUUCCAUGGUGUCCGUGAUAAAAAUAUGUUCCAGGCUGCACCAUAUAAAUUAACACCCAUAAAAUUAAUAUAAUAUUAUAUAAAAUAUCUCCAAAAUUAUUAGAAAUGAUGACACAUUUUUCAACCAAAACUUUUAUAGUAACAGAUUUGUAAGGUUUUUUAUAUAUAUAUUUUUAUUCAUUGACUCCAACCUAGACAGCUUUGAAACUUAUGGCCAGAUAUUCCUAACUUUCAUUUUCCUCCACCAACCAUAACUUUGGGCUGAAAAUUCAAAGGAUUAGGACAUACGAUAUCUAAGCAGUUGAAUGGAAAAAAUAAAAUACAUUCAGCACCUAGAUUAUCACCAUUCUUUUGAUGAUAUGAUAACCCAAUAAAUAAUCUGUCUUCAAAAACAGUCAGAGAUACUACUAUUAAAUACAGUGAAAAACUUUCUGGUUUACUCUUUUUCUAUAUAUGGUACUGUGUAUCCACACACCUUGCUUGGUUAUAAAACUUUUAAAAUGUUUAUCAGAAUUUGCAUCAUAUAAUUCCUUCUUUGACAGCUUAGUUCCUGAGUUUGUAUUUAUUGGUUUUCCCUUCUGUUACUCUCUAUCAAUGUACAAAUGGAUAAUAUAGAAGCAUGUGUUUUUCUUAGUUACAACAAGUAGAGAAAUGUAAUUACCCUCUCAACUAUAAACCUGUAGUGAAAAGUUUCUCCUGGAUUUAUAGCACACUGUGAGAUAGCAGCAGUUCCAUCUGCCCAAGGAGUUCCAACCUGCAUAACCAAAAUCUAGAAUUAAUAAGGCAGUUUUGUUGAGAACUAGGCAUAGUUAAAGGCCAUAAGUUUGAGAUUUGUUGAGAUUAUGAUGCAUAAAAGAGAGUAAAAAAGAAAAGAAAAGAAAAGAACCUGUCUGAUUCCAUGCCAGUGAAUAACAGUUCCCUCAGUGAAAAGCUUGUUGGUGAGAGCAAUGUGAAGAGUGUCACCAACUUCAGCCCUAAUAGUUGGCCCUGGAAACUGCCCAUUGAUUCCCAUCACAACGUGUUCCAAACAAUCUGGCUUUCUCAUCAUGUACUCCACAUCAAACCUGUAGUGCCUCACCCUUCCUCCAACUGAAUAUUGUAUCAGCCCCAACCAUAUGCACCAAACCAAAACUGCUUUCAACCCCAUUAUUCUCCACGCAAACACAAAACCUUACCAAUACCACCGAGGUCUCAGCUACCAGAAGAACCUAUUGGUGAAGAAAAAGGAACUGAAAGAUAUAGAAUUAUCAAUAAAAGAACAUUCAGAGGAUUGAGAUUGUGUCUGAAUGGUGAUACCGUAGGAUGGGUAGCCAUAUACAUAUAUAUAUAGUGAGACAGGGAAGGUGCUUUGAAAUUUCACCUCAUGCUGUUGAGUUGUUUUGGUGGCUAUAUUAAUCUUGCAAAUUACGUGUGUAACUUUUUUGAAUGUAUCAACUGUCAACUGGUUCUGCGUAUAUUCCUUUUAUUUUAAUGAAAGAAUUAGGUAUGGAUUUUUAUAUAAAAAUAUGUUUGAAGCAUAGUAUAUACAUAUAUACAUACUGGUCAACUUUAGGAUGACAAAGUAAUAAUACAAGGAAGUCGUUGAUAAAUAUUUAUGACUUAUAUUUUGAAAAAUUUCUCCCUACAUUUUUAAGACAAAAAAUAAGAAGAAAAUUAAUUACAAACCCUACAUUUUUAUGUUCACUAACUAAAUUCAAAUUAUGAAACAAUUUUUUUAAGAAAAUACUUGUAUUACAUAUACUGGUCUCAUUUUGUUCUCUUCCAGAAACUUUUAUAGAGAAAAUCAUUCAAACAGAUAAUAAUUGCAUGAUAAGUUUGUUGAUUUGUUUUAGGUAAAUAUUUUAAAACUUAUAUUUUGAUUGGUUGUAUUUUAUUCUAACUUAAAGUUAAAAGUAUUUUAUUCUAAAUUUACGGCAAACUAAACACCUGGAAACAUUUUUUAUAUAUUCUUGUAAGGUUUUUACUCGUAAUGGUAAUAUAUUCAUAUUCUUUUAUAAACUUACCCCACAAUAAUAACCUUCAACUUGCAAAAAACAUGAAUUUAAUUUUAUCUCUUUAGAAAAAGUUACUUUUUCAUUAGUUGAUAGUAAAAGAGACUGGCUAAAAUUUACAAUCAAAUGCUCAACAGAUCAGAAUAUUCUGUAUUUAGAUCUGACAAUACGAAUAGUCCAAAUCCUCUUCUGAUCUUUCUCAUUCUUUGUAUAGCGUUAAAGAGAUAUGUAAAUAAUUGAAGGAAGAACUUUGGGUCUUCUUACAAGCCGAAUUCUUUUUUUUUUAUCAACAAUAAUCAAUAAAUAAAUAUGGAAUACUUUAGGGUGAACCAACCUUUAUACAACUUACCAAAAAUAGUUAGCUAUCAGAAAAUCAAUUAAAGAACUCUAAACCCUACCAAACUACUCUACUAAGAUUCCCUAAAACCAUAAACCAACAAGCUAAAACUAAAACUAAAUCGAGUGUAGGCAAACCAAAGGUUCAAAACACCAAUCAGAAUAAGAAAAACAAGCAGAUGGAAUUUUAGAAGAGAUUCAAUCUCAAACCUUCAAUUGAGCCAAAGAAAAAGCCUCUGAAUGAUCCGCUACUCCACCUUUAAAGACGACCUUGUUCCUAACAUGCCAGAUUUCACUAACUACCUCAAUCCAGACAUUCCCCAAGACUAAAUUGACAUAAUUAGGUGCAUUACUUAGGUUAAACUGUAGAAAAUGGAAUGAGGAUUAAAAGAAUCAACCAACUUCAACCCUAACUACACGUAACAGAGACUCCACACUAACCAAGCGAAACGACAACCGAAAAAAAGAUGAAGAAAAUUCUCCUCCUUUUACCCGCACAACCUACACGUGAUAUCUUCAAUCACAAUCCCAUGUCUGGCCAAAUUUACUUUGGUUGCGAUCUUGUUUUACAAUACCCUCCAAGCAACAAGAUGAGCCGAAAGAAAAGCUUUAAUCCUCCAAAAAUCCUUAAAGAAAUGUCGAUGCUCCCCUUCAGAAUCUCCUUUUAGGAAAACGUAGGCCGGCUUAAUCGAAAACUCAAAAUUUGCAACUUCUUUCCAGGUCCACUUAUCAACUUUAUCCAAAUCAAGCACAAAGUCUUGUACCACUUCCAAAAAGCUAAUCGACCUGCUUCUUCUCCUAGACAAAAGGACUCAUUCUCCAAACCAAAUUCCACUCACACCCAUUGUUAACCCGAGUCCUACAACAAUCCAACGAAACUUCUUUAGAAACACUAAGGGAUAAAAGCCUUGGAAAUUUACUCUUUAAGGCUUCAUUACCCACCCAUAUGUCCUCUCAGAACUUAAUAGACUGUCCAUUUCCAACUUCCCAAACAAAACGGUCUUCAAAACUCCUGCCCCAGUCCUCCAACUUCCAAAUCGCCUUCAAAUCUCUCCACCAGAGGGAACCUUUGUUGUUUGAUCCACCCUUUUUCAAGCUUCUCCAACCUCCAUAUUUAAACUCUAAAACCUCCUUUCACAAACCACCCUUAUUAGAACCCAACCGCCAAAUCCAUUUUCUUAACAAAGACAAAUUAAAAAGUUUGAUGUUAAUAAUACCAAGCCCACACUAGUGUUUUCUUCCUUUGUCUGCCUUUGGACUAUUGCUUAUUCGAUUAUUUGGUCUUUCGGUUUUUUUAUUUUUUGGUUUUGGCUCUUAAGUUUUAGGACAUAAUGUAUGGUGAUUAGAUUUAGAUUAAAUUAGAUUUUAGAUUAGAUUUUAAAUUAUUGUAUUGAUUGGAACCAUAUGAAGUUUAGAAGUUGUGGUACUCAGUUCUGGCCGAUCGACAUGCUCAAAAUGCAUUAAUAUCAGAAGAAGUUUAACGAGUUUAAGUAGUACGUAAAUACUAGGUAAUGCGUUCUUAAUCAUGAUCCAAACCCUAACCCGGAUGAAUAAUAAUGGGUCAUGAUAAACAUAUAAAUAGUCACAACUUUCGAGAAAAAUGUACGUCAUUAUCACACAUUAAUUACACCGAUUACUUACUUGAGUGCAAAGCACCUUUUGUAGGUGCCCUCUUGACCGAGAGCCCAUGAAGAAAAGGAGAGCUUGACUGAAGUAAAAGAGUGAGAGCAGAGGAAGAAAAAGUGAAGCAAUUUGACUCGUUCAGUAUAAUGAGAAAGACUCAUCGACCGACCGAAGCACAUAUCAGUACGUAGAAGUUCUCUGUGUCCCUUUUUAUACAAGAACAAUUACCUUUAGCUUUGGGGUGCUUCCCUAUUUAUACCUAACUUGGACCUUUGAUGGUGUGGAUGUACAUGUUGGACCCAAAAGGAGCUCAAUCGCGUUCUAAUAAUGUUUUUGUGGAUAAUUUGGUGUUUUACUGACUAAUGGCUUUUUAAGGUCUCUCGCGGGUCUCGUGUGAAAAGUGUCGAUAUGGUGUCGUCAAGGUGCUAACGACUAGACAAACUGGUGGUACAUUGGGUGAGGAAACAAAUUAAUUUGACAAAAAAGAGAGUAAAUAUAAGUUGGGUUGGGUUAAAAGAAAGAUAGUGGAAAGUAAAAAAAUUAAAGAAAAAAAAUUAUAAAGUGUGUGAGUAAUAUGAUGAAUGUGAACAGCAAAGUCAAAAGAGUUAGAUCACGCUGGCUGAGUCAUGUGGCAAACGAGAAACAUUUUUUUUUAUCAGCGACUAAUAAAUUAAAUUAAAUGAAGCAUUUCAGGGAUGCUCCAACCACUAUAAGAAAAUCUAGAAUUACAUACCAAUUAUUAAAUACGGAAAAAAUAAGUAUGUAAAGUGAACAAUACAUACGGAUUCUAAUCCGUAUGUAAGAUAUUUAAAAUUUAAUUCAAAAAAAAAAUUAUUUGUAUGUAAUUUAUUUCAAAUUUAAUUAAAAAAUAAUAAAAAGUGUUACAUACGAAUUAUAUCCGUAUAUAAUGUAUUAAAAAUUUAAUUAAAAAAAUGUUACAUAUGAAUUAAAUUCGUAUGUAACUUAUUUCAAAUUUAAUUAAAAAAUAACUAAAGAUGUUACAAGCAAAUUAUAUCCAUAUAUAAUUUAUUAAAAAUUUAAUUAAAAAAAAUUGUUACGUAUGGAUUAUAUCUAUAUGUAACUUAUUAAAAAAUAACAAAUAAUAUUAUUAAUACUAUUAAUAUUAUUAAUAGUAUUAAUAGUAAUUAAGACAAGUAUCGAAUACAAAGCAUCCACAAAACAUUAGUCCUAGCAGUAAACGUAGCACAAACCAAGUCAAAAUCACAUUCAAGUCAGACAUUAUAGUAAGUCCCAUCUUUUGAGCUUCCUCGAUAGCAGUCUGAACUUCAAGAAACGCAGAGAAAGCACAAAUAAAUUCCCCCAUUCCCAUGAAAAAUACCUCCACAAGUAGUAAGAUCAGGACACCCCAUAACAGCACCAUCGGUGUUAAUUUUAACCUAUCAAGGUGAAGGGAACUCCCAUCUAAUAGGAAGAGGACGAAGAAAUUUACCCGUACGAGUAUUAAUACCAAAACACUUAAUUAUGUUGAAAACUAACAUAUCAUUCUUCAUUGAAGCUUUAGAAGAAUUUCCCACUAGACAAGUUAAAUCUUUAAUUACCGACAUAGCCCUAAAAACCUCAAUCUUAUCCUGAAAUCUAGCAUAAUUCCUCAUACGCCAUAUCAUCCAAAUAGAAAAGGUUAUCACAAUAAACUUAAUCAAUUUAACCAAAGGACUACCAUCACUCUUAAUAAAAGAAAGAAGAUAAUCAUUAUUAGACAAAUGAGAAGUAAGAAAAAUCUGUCGAACCUAACUUAUGUAAAGCAUUAGAACAUUCAAAAAAUAAAUUCUAAAUAGAUUCCUCAAGCUUUUCACGAAUCAUACACAUAGAAAAAAAUAUGCCAACCUUUAUUUUGAAUAUGUUGAUCUGUAGGAAGCCGCCCAUGAAAAACUUUCUAGAGUACUAGAGUUUUGGAAGGCGGAAUAGAUGAAAACCAAAUUAAUUUUGCCCAACCACAGGGAACUCCAGGUAACAAGAAAAAAGUCCUAGCUGAUUUAAGAGUGGAACGACCAAACUCAUCUAGAAUCCAAUUAGGAAUAUUAUGUUCCUCCCUAACCAUCAUAUGAUUAAAAAAAUAAGGCAUAUGCUCUAAAGAUAAGGGAAUAUUGCAAUCACAACCUGUCCAAAACUAAGAGACUGUAUGCGAAAUGCUAGCACCAUUAGAUAACCCUAUAAUAUUUGCUAAAGAAGUAGUAAAACACCAUUUAUCAUUCCAAAAAUUAAUAAAAAAAACAUGUACCAACAGUUUAGGAAAUAUAAUCAAGUAUAGUAGAAUAAAACUACUUAAUUCCAAGCCAAAGAGAUGAGGAUCUAUAAACCAUUUUAAACUCGUAUUUUGAUUUAAGAACCAUGGCUUUCAAGAGCAAAGACCAAGGUGUAGAACAUGGAAGCUUUGAUGAUCCAAAUCUGUGUUGAAGGGUUGUUGCUUUGCUGCUUUUGGUUGAAGAUUAGUUCUAGGGUGUUUAGAAUUCUAGUAAAGAUCAUUCUUAGUCCUUUGCACAAGGUUGAUCAAUUUUUUUUAAAAGAGAAAAAUGUUUUUCUAAGCAAAGAGAAAAACAACCGGUUAAAAUCACGAUAUAAUCGGUUGUUUUACACUUAGCUUGAUUGAAGGUUUUCAAAAUUGUUUUUGACUUGGUUGACUAACUGUCAUAACCAAUUCAACCGGUUAAAAUGACAUUUCAACCGGUUGAUUGUCACAUUUCCUAACAACUUUUCAAAAACUUGUUAAAUCUAUUUUCAGUUGAAUUAAAACUCUUUUGGCUCAUGAUUCACUGCGUAGAACAACUAGUUUUAAGAGCUAUAAAUAUGGUUUCUCUUUGUAAUAAAAAAUAUACAUAAAGUGAGAUUGAAAUUGUUUUUGAGAAGAGAUUCAAAUCAAAGUUUUGCAAGAUUUCUAAGUAGUUGUGCAUUGGUUCAAGAUCUGAUCUUAGGAACUUUGUGAUUCCUGAAUUACCAAGUGUAAUUUGUUCCUUUCUGAUUCUUGUAAUUGUUCUUUUCUAAACUUGUAAAACGUGUGUAAACCUGUAAGGUCAAAGGGUGUUCUGACUAAGGUUGUGUGAAAGGAAAAGAGGGUGAGUGCUCUUCUGGUUUCAAGAUCACCUCUUUGUGCCUUUGAGUGUGUGUAAUAUGUGAUUGAUUGCUAGUGGAAACCCAAUGGUUGUUCUGGGACUAGAUGUAGCUCAGGAUUGAGUGAACCAGUAUAAGUUGGUUGUGUAAUCUUUCUCUCUCUCACUCCUUAUAAACUGUUUGAUUUGAUUUUGUUAUUUCUGCUGCCAUAAACAACCGGUUAAAACGAAGUUUCAACCGAUUGAUUUUCUGCAAACAGUUUCAAUUACCUUGUUUGAUUGACUUCCUUGAUUACUUCUUCUGCAAACAAAUGUUUCCUAAAUAUCAAUUUCUCGCAUAUUUAUAAAAACAACUUAUAAUCACACUCGGACAUUAAUGGGAAUUAACAUUUCAAGUCUAUGUCUAGCCUUCAAAGAUGUUAAGUAUUGUUGUUUAGGUUAAAACCUUAAAAAUACCUUUUAGUCAGAUUUAAGAUUCUCAAUUGUCACGGAAAAUUAAAAGUAAAACAACAAUACCAAUAAUCAAUCAAGAACUGAAUAUUUUAAUAUAAGAUAUCACCUCAAUACAUAAGAACUCGAGCAGAUUACUUCCAAUCCCAAAAGGUAGAAUUAGCCAUGCAUACUUCUAGCACUUUCCAUUCUCCCAAUUUGGUUACAAUUCACUCUAUGGUGUUUUCUUCUCAAUCUUGCACAUUAGGGUUGAGCCUCUAGCCCCCUAUUUAUCCUAGUUUUCUAGGGUUAGGUCACUUCUUGUAUCACGCUAAUGGGCUAAGUGAUAAAACAUAAAAAGAUCCAAUCUUUCUCUACAUCUUUUUCUAUUAUGGGACCUUCCAACUUUCUCUUUUUAGCUCAAAUUAUUCUCCUUUACUCCAAAUCUUCAAUUCUCCCUAAAAAUCUGCAACUAGCACUAAAUUUGGGAAUAAAAUGCUCUUAUUCAAAUAAAACUCAUAAAAAAAUGUAUAAAUGUAUAAAUUCAUAAAUUAGGGAUUAUUUUAUCUGUAAAUUAGCAAUAAAUCCUCAUAAGUACCUAUUUUUUAAUAUGAAAUAUUAAUGAAAUUAGACACUUAUCAGUUCAUAAUACCAUACUCUUAGAAUCUAGGUUUGGAUCUAACUCAAUCCCAUAAAAUUGAGUUUUAAGAUGCUUGGAACCGCUAGUUCAGUUUACUCUGAUCCAAAUGGAAUUGUAUGUGUAUAUAAUGAAGUUUUUUAUGCAAAAAUUCUUCAAUAUAAGGAUACAUGAUCUGGCAGAUAAAUAAUCGCUUUGUUACUAGAUAUGUCAGCAUUUAAGGCGGCAAAUCCAGAUGCUAUCUUUGAAGAUUUUAUUCGGUGGCAUUCACCUGGGGAUUGCGAAGAGUGUGAUUACCCUGAGCAAAGUAAAUCAUCAUCAUCCAGUUCUCUUGACAUUAAAAAGUCAAAAGAUAGUUGGCCUCCACAAGGGAAGCUUUCAAAGAGAAUGUCUAAACAUGGAAUUUUAUGGAGAAAGCUUUGGAAUAGUGCAACUACUCUUCCUGCUUCUGAACAAAAACCUCUUCUUGAUCAAGUGCUGGAAGCAAAACUGAUUAGGGAUGUGUGUUUUAAUUUUAAACUUGAUUAGGAUGUAUGAACUUUUGAACAAUUAUGUGUUUUAAUUUUCAAUUAUGUAUAAACUUUUAAACAAUAUUAUGUGUGCUUUACUUUUCAAUGAAAUAAAUGGAUGCUUAUAACUUUAAUACAUUAUUUCAUAUUAUUAGUAUAUUUUUUUUAUUAUGAAAAUAUAUUAUGUUUAGUUUAAUUGUGCAAACCAGAUUAUAAAAUAGAUUAUAAAAAAUGAGGGUUAAAUUUUAUUUAUUUAGAAUUAAAAUUAUGACAGUUAAAAACGACACAUUAUACCCUACAUAAUGACGCUGCAAUCUUUUUCAAUGAAUUAAAUUGCGACAGUUAUAACUGACACUAUUUACAUAUAAAAAACGCUACUUUAAACAUAGUGUUAAAGUGGCGGGUGUUGCGGAGGGUAGCGUGAAACCCCCACAUUAAACUUUGUGGCGGUCAGUUCUAUGGCAGUUUGAGAAACCGCCACACGCGUAUAUUGUUGCGGUUAUAAAUGCCAAUUUAUACAAAAAUAACCGCCACAAUAUACAUUAUUUUUUGUAGUGAUAUUUGUAUCUUAUAAGAAGACCAAAAGGAAGAACUUGAGAUGCUCUGGUCUUUGUCCAUUUCUUCCUCUGGUGAGUCUUCACUUGAAUAUUGAGAUGACCUUUCAUAGUGUGCAUCCUUGGUCAUCUUCUUGUUAUCUUGGUUUGCAUCAUUUGCUGCUUUUGGUUGGAGCUUAGUUCUAGGGUGUUUAGAAUUCUUGUAAAGAUCAUUCCUAGUCCUUUGCACAAGCUAGAUCAAUAUGUUUUAAAAGAGAAAAAUGUUUUUCUAAGCAAAGAAAAAAACAACCGAUUGAAAUCACGAUAUAAUCGGUUGUUUUACACUUAGCUUGAUUGAAGGUUUUCAAAACUGUUUUUAACUUGGUUGACUAACUGUCAUAACCAAUUCAACCGGUUAAAAAAAAAUUUCAACCGGUUAAAACAAAAUUUCAACCGGUUGAUUGUCACAUUUCCUAACAGCUUUCCAAAAACCUGUUAAAUUUGUUUUCAUUUGAAUUAAAACUGUUUUGGCUCAUGAUUGACUGCUUAGAAUUGCUAGUUUUAAGAGCUAUAAAUAUGAUUUCUCUUUUUAUUAAAAAAAAUAUAGAAAGUGAGAUUGAAAUUGUUUUUGAGAAGAGAUUCAAAUCAAAGUUUUGGAAGAUUGCUAAGUAGUUGUCCAUUGGUUCAAGAUCUGAUCUUAGGAGCUCUGUGAUUCCUGAAUUACCAAGUGUAAUUUGUUCCUUUCUGAUUCUUGUAAUUGUUCUUUUCUAAAAUUGUAAAAGGUGUGUAAACCUGUAAGAUCAAAGGGUUUUGUGAGUAAGGUUGUGUGAAAGGCAAAGAGGGUGAGUGCUCUAGUGGUUUCAAGAUCACCUCUUUUUGGCUUUGAGUGUGUGUAAUAUGUGAUUGAUUGCCAGUGGAAACCCAGUGGUAGCUCAGGGUUGAGUAAACUAGUAUAAGUUGAUCAUGUUUUUUUUUGGUCAGCAAAGAAUAAAAUAGAAUAAAAGGGGUACUUCAGGGGUACCCCAACCCAUAUACAAAAACCAAGUAGUUCAAGAUAAGGGUAAAUAUACAUUCUAGUGAUGUAGCAGAACAAACAGAUCCUAGCUUUACUUUCCUAUAUACUUCAGAUGACCCCACAUUACCUAUUUAACCACAUCUUCAGAGAAACCCAAAUCUUGACCACCUAGCCUCUUUUGUUACGUGUCUUCAUAUGCUACCUGCAGCACAAGUUUCUUGUAUGUCCCUUAAUAUGGAUAAAUCUGGACGGCCAAUGAGCAUUGUCUAUCACAGAUCAGCUUCUUCACGCUCCCAUCUACACCUCCAUCUACACCUCCACACGGCUUGUCACCCCAACUACUGCAACAGAGUUCCUGGAAUCCACCUCGCACCAAAACAACCUUGCUGCAGCACCUUGAGCCAGCUCCUACUUUGAACCAGUGGCACCUGAUUUCCUAUCCUCACGUCCACCGGAAAAACUGCAAGCAAAAAUUACUCCAACCAGAAUUACCAAUUCCUUUACUGCAGCAACACAAGAAUAACUCAUAAUCCACCCUGCUUCCCCCUACUUCUCUUUAAACCUGAACCCUGUAACUUUUGACAUCCUUUCCACCGCACCUGCCAACCAUUCAGCUAACACACUACCUUCGUAUCAGCAGCUUUGCAGACAAAUGCUUGGAUUAAGAAUCCAAUCUGAGUAGGAAAAGGUAAACGAACCCGCACCAAGCUUCAAGUAUAACCACGUGGCCAAUUGAGCUGAAUGGAAUACUUCUUCAGCAUCCGGUAUCCCUUGUUUGAACACAAUUAAAUUUCUCUGAUCCCAUAUGCUUCUAAUGAUUGCUACCCAGAGCCCCUUCCAGACUUGAUUCUGCUUAUUAUUUAAGUGAAUUAAAUGGAAACUCUCAAAAUGAAUUAAGAGAUCCUUAUGCUGAACAGACACAAUACCCAUCCACCUUAGACAAAGACCCCAUAUCCGUUGUGCAACCAGACACGUCAUAAAAAUAUGUUGAGCUGAUUCAUCAGCUACCCUACAAAAAACACAUAGAGGGGAAUUGACAACUAUAGCUCUCCUUAUGAGAUUAUCAUACGUUGGUAACCUCCCAAUUAGAGCCCUCCAUGUCGUACAUAAAUCUUUGGGUACCGCUUUGACUUGCCACAACAACGAAAAAACAUUAUGCAAGCUGCCAUUGGAAUAAUUACACAAAGUAAGGUAUGCAAAUUUGACAGAGAAAACACCUUUGGGAUCCCCACUCCAUUCAAUAGUAUCCUCGGAAUCUUUGUUCAAAGUCUUCCUUGUAAUGAGGUUCAUCAUUUCUUCCUCUACAGAAUUUUCCCACUCAAAUCUAGCCCUUCUCCACCCUAACCUCCAAGACCAGCCUAACUCGCCCCACGAGCCUACCUCUCCCACCAAUUUUCCUUGCUCUAAGGAUAUGGUGUACAAUCUAGGAAACAAAGCUUUAAACUUAUUAUUGUCCAACCAUGUAUCUUCCCAAAACAUGAUUUUAUCCCCCUUUCCCACUUUCCAUGAGACAUGGUUACGGAACCAACCCUCACCUUCUCCUUCUUCACAAACCUUACGAAGAUCACUCCACCACCAUGAAUGAUUCUUACCACAGCCUUGAGAACUUGUCGUACCAUUACCGUACUUAGAUACCAAGAUCUCUUUCCAUUUCCCUUUUUCUUCACUCAUCAUCCUCCACUUCCAUUUUGCUAACAAAGCCCGAUUGAAAUUUUGUAUAUCCUUAACCCCCAACCCCCCUUCCUUCUUUGAUUUGCAUACAUUUUCCCACCGAACCCAGGCUAUAUAUUUACUAUCAUUGCCCCACGCCCAAAGAAACCUCCUUUGAAUACUAGAAAUCUUAUCACAGACUGACUUUGGUGCUUUAUAAAAAGAUAGAUAAAACAGGGGUAUAGAAGUUAAAACCGACUUAAUCAAACAUAACCUACUGGCAAACGAUAGACAUUUCCCUUUCCACGCACUAAGUCUGGCUUUAACUUUUGAUGUGAAUGUAACUACAAGAACACAUGAUUCUUGACAUUCUUAGGAGCAACUUGAGCUGGAUUUGCAAGACACUUUACUUUAGAAUUGGAUCAAUGUUCUAAUUCAAGAACUCACCAAAACUUAGCACCAACCAAGACUCAUAUGGAAGUCCAUGUAUUGUCAAAUGGAAUCAAAACACAAGGAAUGAAGAACAAUAAUUAAAAACUGGACAGAAUUGAAAAGCUAGCUACUGAACCGAAAAAAAACAAAGAACAAAGCUGGAAAAGUAAAUGUAAACGGUAGAAAAUGAAGGAAAACACUAGGAAUUAAAACUACCGAAUGGAAAAAUUGAAGAAAAGGAAGAAGAACACUUAUAGGAAGAUGCUUGCUGGAUUUUGAGAAUUGGAAGAAGCCAUUCACGCCACUUGGAACCUUGAACCAAGAUAAGUGAUGGAGUGCCACCACUUGAAGCUCACCAUAGCUCACAAGAUAAGGCAAAGAAGAAGAAGACUCAAAACUCACAAAUUCUCUCCAAAUUUGAGUAUAGUCUCUCUACUAUAAAAUUCCAAUCUCAAAAAAUACAAAGAGGAGCACCUUAUUUAUAGCCUAUGAGGUGCUGAAAAUGCAAGCUAAAUGGCCCACAAAUGCAAUGAAAUUCGGCGCCAAUCUAGACAAUGAAGGAAGUGUGACUUUCCUUCCUAGUUUGGGAACAACAAAGGUCCUAUCUACACUCCCCCCUAGACUCCCUUACUACUUACACCUUUUUUAUUACAUCCACACCCCUAUUCUACAAAAGAAAUAAGAAGAGCCAUUUUAUUAUACUCUUGUCCCAAAGCUCUUGCCAUGCUCCUAGUAAUUCGUUGGGCUUGGACCCCUUGAUGGGCUUGGGCCCCUUGUUGGGCUUGGGCUUCAUGGGUUUGAGCAUCCUCUACUUGGUUUCCAUCAACUUUCUCCACCACCGGUUCCCAAAACUGCAACCUCCUUGGAUUACCACCAACCUGUAUUCCCAGAUAGAUAAAAGGUAUUUGCAUGAUAUCGCAAUUGAGGGUUUUCGCAUAUAGCUCAAGAUUGCUUCGAUCUACCUUUAACCCUGCUAUCUUUGAUUUAUGAAAGUUAACUUUGAGCCAGAAGCAAGCUCAAAAACCCUGAGAAUCGCCUUAAUUGUAAAGACAUUGGAAAAGGAGUCUUCACACAUGAACAGGGUAUCAUCUGCAAAUUGUAGCAAGCAGCAGUCCACCUGAGCUCUUCCCACCUUGAUACCUCUUAACAGAUCCUCCUUUACAGCUUUGCGAACUAGACACGCCAGCCCUUCUACUACAAUAAGAAAAAGAAACGACGCCAGAGGAUCUCCUUGCCUCAAUCCCCUUGUAGGUCUGAACUCCUCUGUUGAGCUACCAUUGACCAGGACUAACACCGUAGCCGUCUCCAGACAUCCUUUCACCCACUUUAUCCACUUCUAUGAAACCCCAUUCUUUGUAGCAUGUCCAACAAAAAAGUCCACCUAACCGAGUCAUAGGCCUUUUCAAAAUCUACCUUCAGGCACACCCCACUCUUCCGAUUUCUUCGAACCUCUUCAAUCACCUCAUUAGCCAUCAUGACACUGUCUAGCAUACCCCUAUCUUCCAAGAAAGCUGACUGAACAUCAUCUAUAACCAGAUGCAAGACUUUCUUUAUACGACACGACAACACCUUAGUGAUUAUCUUGUAAAGAGCUCCCACUAAAGAUAUAGGUCUGAAGUGCUCAACCAAGACGGGAUUCUUCAUUUUAGGGAUAAGAGCAAUAAAUGACGCAUUACAGCCCUUUGAGAAGCUCCCAGAAUCUUGAAACAAGUACACAGCUUCCAAGAUAUCCUCCUUUAGAAUCUCCCAAUUACUCUUGAUGAAAUUAUAAUUAUAGCCAUCUGGGUCAGGACUUUUCGAACCCUCACACAACCACAUUGCAGUCCUGACCUCCUCCUCGGAGAAAUCCUCUACCAUUUUCAGACUAAUGGCCUCUGGAAGAGUCUUGAAGUCCACAAGACCAAGCCUAACACCAUAAUCAGGUGUGGCCUUGAACCUCUGUUCAAACACACGUUUCGCUUCUCUACGCACCGCUUCCGGUUCUUCGCACCACUGAUUAUCUAUUUCAACACCUUUAAUUUCAUUCCUAAGCUUCUUCCACCUAAUAAUAGAGUGAUAAUACUUGGAAUUUAAAUCCCCAUGCUUAAACCAAGUAGAUCUAGCUUUCUGCCUAUUUAUAGAUUCCAUCUUUUUAUCUAAGACCUUCUGUUGACUUAGUAACUCCAAUCUCCUCAAUUUUUCCCCUUCCAGUAAAUCACAUUCAGCAUCCUUGACAUCGAGGUUCUCAAUUUCCAUCAUGAUUUUGCGCUUGCACUCCUCAAUAUUUCCGAAAACACUCAUGUUCCACUCCUUGAUGUCGGUUUUCAGCAACUUCAAUUUAUCUUUGAGCGUUGACAUUUUGUUUCCCUGUACCUCAUAAGUAUUCCACUUACCUUUCACCAAGUCCUUAAAACUAGGUUCCAAAAGCCAAGCGUCAAUAGAUUUGAACGGUUUAGGACCCCAAUCUUUAGCCCACGAUUUGGCCACUAUGGCGUAGUGAUCGGAGACUUCCCUCUCCAGUACAUAUUGCUUACUUGUAGGCCACCUUUGUAACCAUUCCAAUGAUACUAAAAAUCUGUCUAAUCUGCUUUUGGCAGACCCAUCUGCCUUGUACCAGGUGAACUUUUUGCCUACAAGAGGUAACUCCACCAACACAUUCCUAUCAAUGAACUCAUUUAAGUCUUUAAUCUCCUUCUUCUGGCUGGACAACCCUCUAACACCUUUCCUUUCCUCCAUAAUCCUAACCGCAUUAAAAUCCCCGCAACAACACUACACCUCAUUCUGACUAGAACUUUUAAUGGUUGACAGAGCAUCCCACAUGACAGCUUUAUCACUAUUCGAGCAAGCAGCAUACACAUUCACAAUAACACAUAAGCAAUUCAUUUUAACAUAAAUCCCAGAUACAGCUAUAAAACCUCUUCCUUUAACAUGAGACCUAUACUCAAACACUUCUUUAUUCCACAUAGAAAGAAUACCUCCUGCCCCAUUUUCUCCUUCAUUAAGUACCCAACCAAUGUUAUUAUCCCCCCAUAAAGCAAAGCAUUUAGAAUCAGAGAAAUUCAUAACUUUUGUCUCCUGUAAACACACAAACUCGGCACUCUCCUUGUAAAUAAUAUGCUUAAGAUAUUUAUCUUUUACCCCUCCUCCUAGCCCUCUGAUGUUUAAAUUGAUAACAAUCAUAGACAACCUGAUUUCGUGCCCUUCUUCAUCUUACUCAAAACUUGUCUAUCCCUAUCCUCCAUCACCUCCACUUCUUGUAGCAUCAUAUCAUCUCCCCAUGGGCAUGUCGUACCUAACCUUUUGGCUAAACCCCAUAAUCUAACUGAUUCGGAUUCAACAACUUCUUUCCUAAUUCGGUUAUUACAUUCAACAAUUUCAGAAUCAGACAAUGCAUAGGAUAAUGAACGUGACCUGGUUGGGUAUCUGUUCCCGGAAUGUAACGAUCCCGUGCCCCCUUUUGAACGACACCGUCGCUGGAUUGUUCGACCCCCUUGCUCCCAUAGCGCACGUAGGUGACGGACCCUAUCUGGGGUUUGACGAUCGUCCACCUCUAUAUGUUCCUCCUCGCCAUUAUGAACGCCGCCCGUCUUCUUCCCCAAAUCUCCCUGGUACCCUUCACUGAUCGAAUUCUUCCGGCAGCUACUCGAUUUAGAAAGAGAAUUCUUUACUCGAUUUGAUGAACAAGCACCCCCUUUACUAACAUUUAAGGACAAAUGUUUUAAUGGAUGCUCCACCUACGGGCUCUCUGACGUCGCUGGUUGUCCUCCGUCAACACUCGUUGCACAAACGCCUUCAAAAGAUUUUCCUGAAAGUGAUACACGCCCAGCGUAGGUGUCCACAUGGGCCUUAGUUCCAAUAACCUGUAAGUGGGCCUCAGAUAGCAUUGGGCUUUCAUUAAAAGAGUCAAACGACUCCACCUCUUUUACUAAGUCUACCAAGGGGCUUUGUAUAGCCCCACACGCCACAUUGACAUGCUGAAGAGCAGACGCUGCUGUCCCUUCCUCUGCCCCCCCUCCCCCCCGCAGACUCACCUCUUUUUUUGUGAAGGAAAAAUCAGACUUUCCUUGACCUGACACAAGAUCUUCUGCACCUUCCUUUUCUAGAUCCAUUUUUGUCUUAUUCAUAGACCACCCCUUCUCUUCCCUUCUGUUUUCCUCCGGCCACCCUCUGCUACCUUCUCCAUCCCCUCCCCUUUCACUACUCAGUUUUGCAUAACAGAGAGAAUCUUCCACAAAAGUUUCAAAGGAUGAAACACUACCCGAUGACCCUCCAAGACUAAGAUCACAGUUGCAUCUGGACUUAACUCCAUCAUAAUAGUUCGCUUCCUCCACCAAUGUAAUAUUAUACAAACAUCCAUUAAUCCGAAAACCUUUGGACAACUCUACCUUACUCGAUUUCAACAUUCUUACUUGAAACCGCGCAUACUCCAAUCUAUUCCAUGAUAAAGAGGCUUCAUCCACCUCCACCAGCGUUGCUACAUCCUCUACCAUUUUUUAGAAACACUCCUUGUUCCAUAAGUGAAUCGGGAACCCAUAGCAUUUAACCCACACCCGUUUGUAGCUGACCACAAGAGAUUCUGACCAAGGCUUGAUGUCUUCAAAAAAAAAGUCGAACCAUUCUUUACUAGAUUUCACAAUGUCCUCUAUUUUCUCGAUAGACUUAGAAGUCAGUAAGACAAGAUUAUCUCCCAAAAAGCGAAUUAUGAUCAUGCUCAUCCCUCCCUUAAUACAUUCUUCCUGCAAAGUCUCAUGUUCCCACUCUGCCUUCAUACGACCAACCAUGCUGUUCUUCAUCCACGGCAAGAUGUUCGCCUUAGUCGUAAAAGAAGGCCCUUUCCAAUGGGCACGAAGUGGGCUUCUUACUAUAUCAGCAUAGGUUUGCUUACAUAAAACAUAACCAUUAGCAUCCUUUCCUACUCCACUCCUGAUAACUUCUUUCCCUCUUUUUACCAUCCACACCUCCUUGUUCUUCCUCUGAUAGUUUCGAGAGGGAAACCCACCACUUCUACUCUUCUCCUCCAAGCAAGGAGCAUUUCCCGUAUUCACAAACCUUUCCCUCCUGUACCUUGGUACAUUAACAUGAAGUUUCAUGUUUCCGAUGAAGCAGUUGUCUAGCUCCCUCUCCAGGCUUGGAACAUUUCCCACCUCAAAAAACCUUAUAAAGCCAAACCUUCUACCCCAUCUAUUCAAACGUUUAGAAAUGAACACUUCUUUGACCCUGGCCCAUUUCUGAAACAGUCUGAACAUUUCAAAUUCACCAUGAUUUUCUGGAAAGUUUGAAAAGAAGAAGGUUGUACAAGGCUUUGUCGACUGUUGAUGAUGAUGCUCCGCCUGCCUUCUCCGAUUUUCCUGUUCCUCCUUCGCCCCACUCCACUCAGCCAUCGCCCUCAUCUCUUCCUCCAAUUUCCUUAGAUGCUAUAUAUGCAAACAAAACUCCAAAUGGUUGUAUAAGUUGAUCAUGUAAUCUUUCUCUCUCUCACUCCUUAUAAACUGUUUGAUUUGAUUUUGUUAUUUCUGCUACCAUAAACAACAGGUUAAAACGAAGUUUUUCAACCGAUUGAUUUUCUGCAAACAAUUUCAAUUACCUUGUUUGAUUGGCUUCCUUGAUUACUUCUUCUAUGAUUGUUGUUAAAACUUCAUUUGUAUCCAAUCAUUGUGAAAAUAUUUUGACAAACAAUUCACCUUCCUCUUUUUUAGGCCAUAAAUUCUAACACAAGGUAUGUUGCUAUAAGCAAUGUUCAAAGCAAGUUGAAGAAGAUAUGCAUUAUUUUCAUGACGAAGAUUAAUAAUCUUCAAAUCUCCAUUCUCAAGACGAGAUCAUAUCGUAUCCCAAUUCACGGUGACUAUGCCUUUUUUCAAAAUAUCACUAGUUCAAAUAAAAUUUUGACACCACUGCUCAACUUGGUUAAGAAGUGAAAUAAGUCAUUUAUACAUAUUAAAGUUAUAAGCUAGAAAUCUAGUAAUCACCACAUUGACCAAUUGAACCUGACCCAUCAUGUUAAGAGAUUUACCUUUCCAAGAUGCUAGCUUCAAUUCGACUUUAUCAGCCAAAGGUUGAAGAAAUCGCCACUUUGGAGCACCAACAAAGAUAGACACUCCUAAAUAAUUGAAAGGAAAACAACUGUGACUACAAGAAAGAAUACGCUAAAUUUUGGUGAUAAAUCUUGCAGAAUUAUCCAUGGUGAAAAACUACUUUUAGAGUUAUUAACUUAUUGACAAGAAAAAUCACCACAUGUUUUAAGAAAAAUACUCAAAUUUCUAAGAGACUUAAUAUCCCCCCUACAAAAAACAAAUAUGUCAUCAACAUAUAAAAUAUGAGAGGGAGUGAGAUAACCUUGAGAACUAGCCAUAUGUAAAAUUUUAUUAUCAUUCACAAGCUUAGAGAUACCUCUACUGAAAACUUCCUCUGCAAGACAGAAAAGUAAAGGACAAAGGAUCACCUUGAUUGACACCUCUACUACAAGGAAAAAAAACUCACCAAACUGCCAUUUAUUCUGAUAGAAAGCAUAAUUGGUCGGAGAAUUGUACUAAUCCAACCGACAAAUGAAGGGUGUCAAAACUAAUAAUAAGAACUUCCAACUCAGAGUGUCAAAGGCUUUAAGAAUAUCAACUUUCUAAGCCACAUUACCUCAUCUAACAUUUUUACAAAGCAUGUCAAUAGCUUCACAAGCAAUACCAAUGCAAUCCUGAAUUUGUAUACCUUGCACAAACCCAUAUUGAUUAGGAUAAAUGAUUCUAGCAGCCACAAGUGCAAGCUUGUCCACUAAUAUCUUGGAAAUAAUCUUAAAUUUGAAAUUAGCAACAACAAUUGGACUAUAAUCUUUAAUGGAGUCAGCACCUUGAAUCUUAUGUAUAAGAGAUACCACAUUACUAUUCAUUCUAUGGAGAACCUAGUUUUGUUUAAAAAAUUGUUGAACAACAUUGCAAACAUCUGUCCCAUUAAUGUCCCAACAAGAACGAUAGAAAACACCACCAAAACCAUCAGGACCAGGAGCACUAUUACCAUUAAGAUUAAAAACAACAGUCUUGAUUACCAAAAAUUCAGGACAUUUAAUCAACAUCAUAUUCUCCUCAGAAGAAACUAGCUCAGGAAUAUAAUAACCAAUAAAAUCUUCCAUAUUACUUGUAUCUGAAACAUUAGAAAUAGACUUAGCAUAAAGAUUUUUAUAAAAGUCCAAAAUAUGAUCCCCAAUGAGUUUAGAAUCCUCAGUAACCUCAUUAUCAAUUCGUAGACGAUGAAUUCGACUAGAAUUAUUUCUCCUUUUGACCACAACAUGGAAAAAAGCAGUAUUUCGAUCUCCAUCUUUGAACCAUAACAUCUUGACUCUUUCUUUCCAAAACAAAUAUUGAUAGUGAAGAGCAUGAUCAUGCUCCUCUUUAGAAAUCUUUUCUUGACAGAGAAGUCCAUCAAUAUCAGACAGACUAGCCGUCUUUAAGUUUUGUUGAACACCAAGGAGAAGACCCUGCUUAAGAAGAACUGCAUUGUGAACAUUACCAAAAUAAUUUUUAUUCGAGUCUCGGAGCUCAAUUUUCAACCUUUUUAACUUAUGUUGCAAAAUAAACAUAGGAAAACAAACAACUUUAUUAGCCCAAGAAUCAUGAAUAAGCUUUAGACAUGAGGUGUCCUAAAGCGGCAUAGAAAAGAAACAAAAAUUGCUAACCUUCCUUAAAGAAUUACUAGCAAGACUAGGAGAAUGAUCAGAACAAUUUUUAACAAGAACUUGAUAGGUAUAAGAAUCCCAUUCAUCCAGACACACUCCAUUACAUAGAGCCCUAUCCAGUCUUCUAUGAAUUCUAUUGAACCCUUUCCUUCCAUUACACCAAGUAUAACAGGAUCCAGUGAAAGACAUGCUCCGCUACACGUUAUCGUCGCAUGCACAGAACCCCUCACAUCCGCUCGUCAUGCGCCACGCACAACACCACCGUGUUGGUCGCGUUUCACUGCAACGUCGUGCAAGCUCGUCGCACGCAGAUCACGCUCCUCCGCACUCGUCACGCAUAGAUCGACGCAGGGACCACUGCAACAGUAAGACAACUGUUUGUCCACGACUCGCACACCUCCGCGACACACCCCAAAGAGCCUCAAUACGUAGAAACCCUAAUGCACCACCUCCCACCUCUUUUAUUACGACAGUUAUUUUUUACCAUCUUUAUACGGGAUCAUAGAUUUCGUUUUUUAUACUAGUGUUAUAGAAUUAAGCAAUAAUAUAGUAAUUAAAAUGUGUUAAUUCUACAAACUUUAGAACUUUUCAUAUUUGUAGACUUGGAAAAAUUCAAUUUCCUAUUUCUUCUCUUAUUUUAUGAAAAAGAAAUAAGUUACCAACCAUAAAGAAGUUAAUUAAUGAUCAAUAAUCCUUGCAUAUAAAAUACAUGUACAUCAUGUACAGUUUUAUUCUAGAUUUAUAUUCAGGUCAGAGUAAUUAUAUAAUUUAUUUUGCUGAUGAAAAAGAAUUCUUACAAAUAUACUAUUUCCCAAAUCAACCACUACCCCAAAAAUUUAGAUUUCACUAUUAAUAUUUAAUAAAACAAAUUGCUUCAUGAAUCUUUGUGCUUCUAAAGAAACUAUUUGAAUUAGACUAUGUUACCUAGAAUGUUUAUUAUCAAUAGUGGAUAUCUUAGAAAAUUCUUCUAUCUGAGAUGAGGAGAAAGAAAAGAGAAUACUUAAUACUAAAAUAAUACAUACUUUAAUACACAUAUCAUACCAGUUACUAGAUAUGCCAUUACUUUAAUAUAUAAUUGUUAGUUUAGACAAAAUUCUGGCACAUUUUAACAUAUUUUGUACCUUAAAUGUAUUUAUACAAAUUACCUUGUUUGUCACAAAAGUUAAUCAUAUAAUUGAGUUAACAAUUGAAACCAAAUUUGGCUUGUUAUAUUUUUAAUGUGUUAUUUUAAAGACUAAAAAUAAACUACUUAUAUUUAAGAUAAAUAUCAUACUUUACCUAAAUAAAAUUUUGUUUGAAAUUGAUCAUCAAACUUUCUUUAAUAUGGAAUUUUUUUUCUUAAUGAUCGGACAGAAAUGCCUAAACCAAUCUAUAAUAGAUGCAUCCUCCAAUAUGAUUAAUAAUUAUAUAAAAAAAAAACUAUGACAAUAAUUAAACAAACAAAAAUAAGAAAGCAGAAAAAGAGCAGCCAUGGAUGAAAACACUUAAAAAUAAUUAAAAAGUUUUUUUAUAUAAUUGAAACUAAAUCAAUUAUCACAUGCUCUUUGAUAAUAAAAAAGUAAUUUGAGAAUUUUUCUUGAGUCGGGAUGCUAACAACAAAGUCCCCAAAUAGACUCGUUUGAUUAUUUCUAGGUUUGACUAGCCGUAGCAUAAGGGAAACAUUAACCCGUGUGCUGGUUUGGUUCUACAGGUUUCAAGACUAAUCAUAUAUCCAUAAAGAGAAUUUACCACUUUCCUUAUAGUUUUAUACCAUAAAAAAAUCAUUAAAUAAUAAUUAAAUUUAAAAAAUAAAAAUAAUCAUUAUAUUAAUUAAAUUAAAUAUUAUUUUAAAAAUUAAAAAAUUAUUAAUAUUUAAAGUAAUUUUUAUUAUUAAUACAAAUUUAUAAAAUAAUUAUUAAAUUAUUGUUUAAAAUAACUAUCAUAAAUUUGAUUAUUAAUAUUCUAAAACAUUCUAAAUUAGUUUCUAAAAGAAUUUAUUUUUUUAAAUAGAGUAUCUUGUGAAUUGGAAGUAGCAUAGGGAUGACAAAUCAAGGAAGAUAGAUAUUUUGGUUUUGUGAGGUAAAAGAGUGAGGAAUAAGGAUGCAUGUAUGGGGUAUGAAAGGGUAGUGGGGAUUUAUCAAGGGUUCAAGAAUUUUGAGCUAUGUGGUGGUUGAUAUAAUAUUUGGAAUUGUUGAAUUCUUAAACCAGGACAGGUUUGUAUAUAUGAGUUGAAAUACUACUUAAGUGUCUUGUUUAAUUUUAAUUAAUUUUUUUGUUGAUAAAAGAAUAAAUUAAUUUAAAAUAUUAAGUAGUUAGUAUGAUUAAAUAUUAAUUUAAAUAUUAUUUUAUAAAUUUUUAUUAAUAAUAAAAUUAUUUUAAAUAUCAAUAAUUUUUUUAAUUUAUAAAAUAGUGUUUAGUUUAAUUAAUAUAAUAAUUAAUUAUUUUAAUUUUAAAAUUAGUUAAUAUUUUAUAAUAAUAUUUAAAAAUUGAAUUCAUAGUCAUCAUCUCUCUGUAUAAAAAAAAUGUUACUGCCUUUAUAAAAUAUAACUCUGACGACAUAGAAAGGUGGGGAACAAGGUGGUUGCCACCGAGUUUAAAAAACAAAAAUAAGAUAAAAGAAAAGGAGAAAAUAACUGUUAGACACGGUUUAAUCUGGUAUGACUAAUUUGACUGAUGACCAUGGCCUAUCAUAUUUACACGUUUUUUUUCUUGACCACGUUUUGUGUUUGCUUUUAUUACCUUUUUUUAAUUUGAAAUGUUUUAUCCUGUUUGGAAUUGAGAGAACAUUGUCUUCUUCUGUAAACGCGUUCCAAUUACAGAUUUUCUCCUCUGUAAACGCAAAAUAUGCAUGAUGUGAAAGCAAAAAUAGAAAGUAGAGAAAAUGAAUAACAAAAAGAAGGCAUGACAAAUCUUCUUAAUGAGUAAGGAAAAAACAUGGGAGUUGGUUCAAUAAGAAUUCUUAACUAUAAAACUAGGGUUACACAUACUUUUUAUUUCUCAAGAUUUUUAUUGAAAAGAAUUUUUUAAAUUACUCUCUCUCAAAUCUCAAUAUAUGUUAAAAAUAAAACAAUUUUUCAUUUUAGAGAAGAUUAUGUUAGAAUGUAGGGUCAAAGGAAGAGGGAGGUGAAUUGUUUUCACAAGAUUUUCGCAAAUAUUGGAACUUGAGUGAAAAGAUCUAUAAAUCAAUCAAUUAAUUUUUCUAUUCAACUAGAUUAAUAGGUUUUUAUGAAAAAUCAACCAGUUAUUUUAUCGAACGAACUGACUGUUUACAAUAGAAAACAAAGAACAAAAUAUAAAGCAGUAUAUCAGAGUAGGGAAAGAGAGAUUCACAUAGAGAGAUUUAGACUAGUUCACUCUUAACCAAGAGUUACAUUCAAUCUUCAGCUAACCAGUGAGAAUUUACUAUGCAAUCAAAACUAUAUUCAAACCACACCAAGAAUGUCGAGCUUGAACCCCUCAAGAACACACAACACUCUUAGCCAAAACCACACCAAGAAUGUUGAUCUUGAACCCUUAAGAACACAUAACACUCUUAGCGAAAACACAGUUUUUAGAACCUCUUUCUGAAUUACAGUAUUCAAAUAAGGAAAUAGAAAACACUUGGAGUUUUCAAAGAAGUAGAACAAUUGAAUUGAAAAUCCAAGUACUAUUUCACACACAAGCAAUGAUCCAAAAGCUCUUGUUCUUCUCUUGAAUUUUUUUUUGAUAAAACUCUCUAGAAGAAGUGGAUUUUUUUUCCUUUCACAUUUUUUGGUCAAUUUUGUAGAGAAGGUGUAGGGAUAUCUUGUGCGAAAGCGUGAUAAUUUCAACCAAAGAUUAUGAGAAAUUAAAGUAAUAAAGAAAAUGAGAAUGAUAACAGACAGAAAUUUUUAGGUGAAAAACCCCUUUAAAUAGAGGUAAAAAAACCAUCGGCGAGAGAGCCAAAACUUCCACUAUAAUGGUACUGGGGUACAGUGAGUUCCUCUCAGGCUAAUAGAUAAAUAGCCCUAAAACAAAUUCUCUCUAUAUGGGUUAAACACUUACAUCCAAGAGAAGAAAUAGAGAGUAUAUGAAAAGAGGGAGGAAGCAAAUGUAUGUUGUUGUUUGUUGUGUGUUAAAUUGCUUGAAGGAAGCCACUAUAUAUAGUGGUUCUAGAAAACAACAAUAAUAAAGACAAUUAAUGGUAAUUAACCUCCCUUUAAUAACAAUUAAUUGUGAACGGUAAGUAACCUCCCAAUAAUUUCAAUUAAUUGUCAACGGUAAGUAAUCCCCAUUUAUGUCAAGAAAACAGAAAUGUGAAUCAUAACCCACAGAAGGAAAUAUCAAAUUGUUUCUAGCUAAGAAGAAGAAAAAAACAUUGUACUCAUAUCUGAAUGAUACUCAAGGACAAAAUCCUGUUUAUUUAAUUAACUUUGUACUCUGGGGUCAAAUAUCAACCUACAUUAAACAUAAAAGAAAAGUGAGAUAAGAAAAUUAAGACAAUUGUAUUUUAAGAAAACAUUAAAGAAAUAAAGCCAUUUUUUAUACAAGUUUUGUUGGGAAGAAAUAUGGCCAUUUUCAAAUUGUUCAUUUUGUGUUGUUCAUUGCCUAAGUUGGGAAACAUCAUAAAGUGUUGUUUUUGUGAUUUUGGAAAAAAAAGUUAGCAGCAUGAUUUAAGUGAAAAGGGUUGCAAUCCUCCUUUAAGGAUUCUUUUUCAACGAGGAUUUUUUUCAACUUGCUUAUAGGGGUGUUAUAAUAUACUCCUUGUCUUUUCUAGAUUCCCAUUUCAUUUUCUCUUAGUCUUAUCUUGAUUUCUUAUUUAUUGAGCAAACAUGUCCCUUACUUUUAUUAUUUCUUUAUCCAUUUUUUUUAUGUUUUCUCUCGGCCUUCUUACCUUAUCACUAGACGAGCCAUAGGUGAGCCUCAUUGUCAGCUAUGGACCUUUAAGAAUGUAAGUUUCUCUUUCAACCUGACUUUGAGUUGCACAGACAGCUAUAUCAAAUUAAGGAAAUUUCACAUGCACGGGUCCCACAAUUGCAACCAAGCAAAAAAAUAAAUAAAUCAAAGUCUUCAAACCGUGGACUCUACUGCACCAUUUUGCUUCAAAAUUUUCAAUUAAUUUUCACUGCAUCAUUCAUCAAUUCACCAAUCAUCAAAUCACGGCUUCCCCACAAGAAUAUUCAAAGUUUUUUUUUUCUUAAUCAAAACCGUGUACUCCACUACAUGUGAUUUCAAUUCAACACCAAAUUUUAAAGUCAAUUGAAGAAUGCAAAUCACCAGUGAAUUUCCAAUUUCCAAAAUGCUACUGCAUGUGACAAGAGGUUUCAAAGACGCGGGUCCAACUUGAAUGGAAUUUCUUUCAAAUCAUUUUUCUAUGCAUGCAAGUGACAACUCCACCAGAAAAUUCAGCCUCUUAUCAAUUUGUUAGAAUUUUCUGGAAUUCAAUUUCUCGCUGUUUCUGCUCACAGAUUGUAUUAAGUUUUCAGCAAUAUAGAAAACAAAAACACCAUUAGCAAUCAGCAUCUGCGAGUUGAACAAUUCAAAUACUUUGUGUCACACCAAUGUAUUGUCGUGCAUAUGAGACACAUAUGCUUCACUAAUCUGCUUGCGUAAAUUUAUUUCAACCAUUUAGAGCAAAAUCACAUCAGUACCAAACUUAGCUAUACUGCACCAGAAAAUCAGAUAGAAUCUGCAGCACAAAUUUGUACUAAAGUUCAUAAAAUAGCACACAAUUUUAGUGCUGCUCCAAAAUUAGUCUUCAAUUCCUAAAAAACACCAGUAGCGCACCAACUGUUUGACGAAAUGUGUCACUACUGAUUUCAAUUUCAACCUCAAAUUGCUUUCGUAGAUUGUUCAGUUCAAAUAACUGAAUCGCAUUGAAUCUUCACGCCAGCAAAAUUCGACCUUCCUGCUUCAGUUAUUGUAAAUCAAUAACGAAUUUUUGCGAGCUGCUAAAAACAGUGCGAAUUUUGCUGACGCUUGAGAAUUAACUUCUCUGAUUUCGAUUUUCUACUUCACUCAUGUUUGCGCCAUUUCAACACAAAUCAUCCACAGGGAACACCGAUGUGAAUUUCACGAACAACACAUCACCAGAACAAAUUGCAGAAAUCAACUUGAACAGUUCCGAUUUCAACCUCUUCACGUAUCAAUACGUCAAGUGCGAAGAGCGAAAAACUUUUAGCAAUUAAGAAACACCAGCAAUUUCACUCGUAUAAUUUCAUUUUUUAAGAACGAGCCAAAAAUUUCAAGCACAAAAUGAAUUGACUGAAAACGCAACAAGAAUUCUCAUGAAAAUCUGAAAAACAAAUCAGAUUAUUCGCCCAACCAAAAUCACUUUUCGCACAACAGAUCUAAACAGAUUACUGUGCACACCACUCAAUUUCUCUUUGAACCACGAAAAAAAAAAUCGGAAAUUUUUCGAGAUAUUUCGAAAAUUGAAUAUGGAGAAGAUGAUAAUAGAAACCUAAUUUUAAAUAAAAUUGUUAAUGAUCUAAUAGCAAUUUGUGAACUCAAAAAGAAAAAUCAAAAGCACUCAAGAGAUCUAAUUUAUGAAAAAAAAAUUCAAAAAAUUUAAAUAAUGGAGUUUAUGACAAUGUUUUCUAGACAAAAUAUUUAUGAUUAUAAGUCAAAAUGACUCAAUUAUAGAAAAUUACCCCAAACAAAAUUGAAGAAAACUCACAAAUUUCAAAAGAACACGUGUUCACCGUAAUACCUAAAAGCACAUAUAUAAAGUUAAAGUAAUAACAGUGAAUUUGAACCAAACAAAAAGACAAAAGAAUACAAAAUCAAUCUUUAAAUUAUGAACAACAUGGAAAAUAGAAUUUUUUUUAAAGAACUUACUGAUCUCUUUUUAUUACCAAAUGAUGCAAUCCUACUUUGCAUCUUCAUUUGUAGAUCUUCUUCUUCAUUGUUUUUAAUUUGAAUUUGUUCAAUGGAAGAUAAAUAACAACGGAAACUUGAAGAAUUGUAGAAAUUUGAAAGAGAUAGAAAUUAUGAUGGUGGAUCUAAGUGAAGUUAGGUCAAUACUUAGUUUCUAGAGUGAGGUUGGACCAACACUAUUAGGAUGAGCCUAUAAAGUUUUUUAACAAGAAACCAAAUCUAGAGAGAACUUUGAACAAGUAAAAGUGUCUCACAAAUUGGACAACAUUUCAUUACUCAAAUCAUAGUUAAAAAAUCAUGUACAAUAGACUCCUAUUUAUAGGAGAAAGUCUCUCAAACCCUCUCAAAUGAGAGUGUGACAAGUGACAUGCCUUCAUUGGAGUAAAAUCAUCUCCAUUGAGGAUAGGACAUGUGCACACUUGUGCCUUCACCGCCUACAUAUCUAUUUUCACCCCUCUUUUAAUAUUUUACACUCUAUAACAUUUUCUAUUUACACCCUACUCUACUUUGUCCCAAAAUACAAGGUCCAAUACUCUCUAACUACUUUAUACAACUUUUACAAGGCUAAGAAUAAGAAAAAGACUUUACAAUCUCUUAAGUAAUGCUCGAUCUUCGUCUAUCUUCUUAGCCAAAGUUUCAAGGCCGGAUGAUUUCCAUCACAUACUCCUAAUAACUUUUGUGAACACGAGGCUUUUAUGUCUCAAAUUAAACCUAAGACUAUAGGUGAAGCUCUUAAAGAUUAAAAUUGGAUCGUUGUUAUGCAUGAUGAACUUAAUCAGUUUAUUAGAAAUGACGUAUGAAUUCUUGUUCCCAAAAUUACAAACAUGAACAUAAUUGGAACCAAAUAGUUUUUAGAAAUAAGCUUGAUGAAUUUGGUCUUAUAACAAGAGAAAGAGAUAGGUUAGUUGCUAAGGGUUAUAAUAAAAAAGAAAGAAUCAAUUAUGAUGAAAAAACCUACGCAUUUGUUUCUAGACUAGAAGCUGUUAGAUUGCUACUUGCUUUUGCUUGUAUGAGUGGUUUCAAGCUGUUGUACAAGAUGUUUUGAUGUCUCCAAAUCCAAGUGGAAAGCUUGAAGACCUUGUUGUUGUUGUGCGUGUGUGUCUAGUUGUUUGAAACUUGUUAAUUCACUCUUUAAGUUAAUCCAAACUCAAUUGAAUCUUUAACAUUUUGAAAAGAUGGUUUUUCUAAAAGGAAGUGGAAUUUCAACCCACAAGUUGUUUUGACACUUACUAGAUUUUAAAAUGAUUUGAAAAAGCUUUGUCUUUGCCUUUGCUGUCAAACAAAUUUUAACAGGUUGAAAUUUCGAAACAACAGGUUGUUUGACACUUAGUUGAUUUCAAAAUGAUUUGGAAAAGCUUUAUCUUUGCCUUCGCUGUCAAACAAAUUUCAACAGGUUGAAAUUUCGAAACAACAGGUUAUUUGACACUUAGUGGUUUUAAUGCUGUCAAAUAAAAUUCAAUCGAUUAUUUCAAAAAAUCAACCAAUUGUUUUGCUGAAAACCUUAACAGAAUUCUAUUAAGUGGUUUUUCUGUUUUAAAUGAUUCCAACUGCUUUUGGGCUUUUGUUGUAACUGUUUUAACCAUUUGAUUGAAAGAUAAAAAUGUGGUUUUACGCUCCUAUGCAUUGACUAAGUAAAAGAGAUCAAUCAAAAACAGUUUUCAAGUUUUCAAAGAGCUUUUGAAAUUGUCUCAAGUGUGUGGAAUAGGAUUGGGUCUUGUAUUCUGAACUUUGAUCUUGUGGUUUACCCAGGUGUAUUCUAUUCUCUUCAUUCUUAAUAAUUGUAUUUUUGUACUAGUGUUUCCAAGAAGUGUUGUGUGUUCUUGAGGGGUUCAAGAUCAACAUUCUUGGUGUGGUUUUUGCCAAGGAGUGGUAUGUGUUCUUGAGGGGUUCAAGAUCAUUACUCUUGGUGUGUGUAGUUUGUAAUCUGUGAUUGAUUACAUAGUGAAUUCUCAGUGGUGUUUGAGGACUGGAUGUAGCUCAGGUGUUGAGUGAACCAAUAUAAACAUUCUGUGUGAAUCGCACUAUCCUUACACUCUUUAAAUUGCUUUAAAUCUGUUUUGAUAAAACUGUUGAUAUAUUUCACAAAAACAACAGGUUGAUUUUCUACAUCAAGCUUAAAACUGUUUUAUAUUUGGCUGGUCAGUUUUUCCAUUGAUUAAUUCUUCAUAGCCUUGCACUCUACCUUCAAUACUUGCGAAAAUCUUUCAAAAAUAAUUCACCCCCCUCUUGUUUUAGCCCUAUAAUUCUAACAAUUGGCAUCAAGAGCAAGGUUCUUGAAAGUUAUUCAAGUUUUGAUCCUAAACCUUUUUUAAAUGGCUGAAAAGUUCCCUUUUGGGGAGGGUGCUUCAAUAAACAGGUCACCUCUGUUUUGUGGACUGAAUUAUCAAUUAUGGAAGGUUAGAAUGAAAAUAUUUGUUGAAUCAAUUGAUAGAGGAAUCUAGGAUGCUAUUGUAAAUGUCCCUUUUGUUCCUAAAAUUGAAAAAAAUAAUGUUUUCAUUAAGAAACCUUGGUCCCAAUGGACUGAGAGUGAAACUAAAAAGGCUCAAUAUGAUUGCAUUGCUAAAAUUAUAAUCUCUUCUGCCUUAAAUUCCAAUGAGUUUUUCAGGGUCUCAAAAUGUGCUUUUGCAAAGGAGAUUUGGGACAUCCUUUAGCAUUUCCAUGAAGGAACAAUUGAUGUGAUGAACAGCAAGGACAAAAACCAGCCAUCAAACAGGUACAAUACCAAGAAUGUUAAUGAAUUUAAUUAUACAAACUACACUUGUUUUGGAUGUGGUAAACAGGGACACAUCAAGGCUGAAUGUCCAAACAAUGUGAGCAAAGAGAAAGGAAGCUACAAGAAGAAAGGCAAAUCAAGAAGAGCAUACAAUGAUGAUUCAUCUUUAAGUUUUUCAUCUUUAAGUUAAGGAAGAAUCUUAAUCAAGCAGUGUAAGUUCAAGCUCUUCCAUUAAUGUUGAAAAUUAUAGCCAACUUCUUGAGGCCUUCAAUGAGACUCAUGAAGAAGCUAAUAGGUUGGCUCUUUUGAACAACCGGUUCAAAGGUUUAAACAUCUGGUUGGAAAAUCAAGUCAAGACUUUGGAAGAAGAGUUGAACCAUUCAAAAACAGAUUUUGAAAGUUUGGAAUGAUUUACAAAAACUCUUCUUGCAAGUGUGAUUCUAGCUUUUGUGAAAAUUGUGAAUCACUUGAAAAGAAAGUCCACUACCUUUUAAAAACUGUGGACAAGUUUUCCAAAGGCCAAUCCAAUCUUGAAUCUAUUCUUGAUUCUCAAAAAUGUGUUUUUGGCAAGGUUGGGUGGGGGUUUAAUCCAAACAGCAAGAACAGAUAUGUUUCAAAAUCCUUUUCAAGUUUCUUUGAAAAACAACCUGUUGUUUUGUCAAAACAAUCGGUUAAAAUUUGCCAUUACUGCAUGAAAAGGUGUCACUCUAUUAGAUUAUGCAAAGUAAGGAGGUUUUUUGUCCCAAAGGUAUUUUAAAAUGGGUUCCUAAGGUUUCUGAGGUUCCUAAGGCUCUCACUAACAUCAUUGGACCCAAAUUCAUAAGGGGACCAAAUCUUGCUUUUUAAUCUUUUCUUGUAGGUAUCCUUGGCAGCCAAGAAUCACUUUUGUGUUUGAAGAAUGACUGAUAAAGGGAAGAACAUCAAGAGCAAAGUCAAUCUUUGUACCUACACUUUUCAAUUGUAUAUGUCUUUCAAGGUUCUUUGAAUGUCAAGAGACAUCCUUGACACAUGCAUAGUGGUUGAUCAAAAGAGAAACUUCAGGAAUAAAGAGAGUAUGUAUGUUUUCAUUUCUCAAUUUAUGUAAGUGUGCCUUGUGACCAUUUGAACAUCUCAAAGUCUUCUUUUUGGGUGAAUCUAUUAGGGUUCUCUGUGCAAAGGUAUUGAACAAAUUGCAUACUGCAUUUUCAUCAAUUUAAAAGGUAAUUUUUGGUUAUGAAAAAUGUUCACUUUGCUGUCAUAGUAAAACAAACGAUUGUUUUUCCUCUGACACCUUUGUAUAAUGCUGCCAAGUUUGCUUAUGCAUGAUUAAACCUAUUUCUCUUUUUCAAAUCAUGCUUUCAUACAAAUAUACAUUGUGUGUGCCUCAAAAUCUGAUAAUAAAAGAUUAUAUUCACUUGUUUUCUUAUAAGCUCUAUAUCAUUUCCUAUUCUUGAAAUGUCAACAUUGUUUGUAUUGCUGCACUAAUGUAUUAUCAUUCUGAUUUCUGCUUUGUACAAACCCUUCUCAUUGUCUAUUUGUGAGAACAAAUAGGGAGAGAAAUUUAAGCUUGAUUUGGUUGUAUAGAUAGCUUUAAAACUGUGCAUUAUGUUGUUGUUAUUCUGCACUUGAAAGCACUUGAACACUUCACUUUUUUUGGUUUUUCUUGUAUAUGCAGAAAAUUGGUUUGUGUGUGUCUUGUUAUCUUGCUUCUAUACUUGCUUUGUAUAUGCGUAAAUUAUGUGUUGUAGGACCUUUCAAGUAUAGGUUACCGAAAAUAAGGCUUCCUAACAUUUGACCUAAAGUUCUAUUAACCACCUCGGUUUGACCAUCAAUUUGGGGGUGACAAGUAGUAGAAAACAAGAGUUUAGUUCCAAGUUUUCCCCACAAGGUCCUCAAAAAAUAGCUUAAGAACUUUGAAUCGGACACAAUACUUCUGGGAAGCCCAUGUAAACGAACUACUUCCUUAAAGAAGAGAUUUGCAAUAAAGCAAGUAUAAUCUACUUUGUGGUAUGGAAUAAAGUGAGCCAUUUUAGAAAAUCAGUCCACUACAACAAAUAUAGAAUCCACACCCUUCGAUGUCUUGGGAAGACCUAAGAUAAAAUCCAUAGAAAUAUCGACCCAAUGCAUUGUUGGAAUAGGAAGAAGGGUAUAUAAACCAUGGGGUUGUACUUUAGAUUUAGCCUUCCUACAUGCUAUACAUUUAUCACGGAAGCUAUGUACAGAUUUGCGCAUGUGUGGCCAAAAGAAAUACUCAUGCAAUGUAUCUAAAGUUUUAGCUAUCCUAAAGUGACCCACGAGCCGACUCUCAUGUGCUUCCCUAACAAGAGAUUGCCUUAAAGAUCCUUGGGGAACACAAAGUCUUUUUCCUUUGAAAAGAAAACCAUUAUGUAUGAAAAAUUCUUUGUGUGCUCCUUUGGAAAACUCUUGAUAGAUAAGAGAAAAAUCAAGGUCAUCAUUAUAAAGUUCCUUUGUGUGCUUUGGCUUUUCAAAUAUUUAAGAGAUUCAUGGUCACUAUGUAUCACAAAUUCCUUUGGAAAAAUAUAAUGUUGCCAAUUUUGCAAGGCUCUUACAAGAGCAUAAAGUUCCUUAUCAUAGGUGGAGUAGUUGAGAUAACUCUCCUUGAUUUUCUCACUAAAAUAAGCUAUGGGGUGGCCCUCUUGAAGGAUAACAGCCUCAAUGCUUACGUUGGAAGCAUCACAUUCUAUUUCAAAUGUUUUAGUAAAGUUAGGAAGAGCUAAAAUGGGAGCAUUAGUCAAUUUUUCCUUUAAAGUUUCAAAAGCUUUAAUUUGGUCUUGUCCCCACUUGAAUACCACAUCCUUCUUUACUAUAGCAUUUAUAGGUGUGGCAAUAGUACUAAAGUUUUGCACAAACCUCCUAUAAAAACUAGCAAGGCCAUGAAAACUUCGUACCUCAUUAACAUUGGUGGGUGUUGGCCAAUGUUGAAUUGCUACAACCUUUUCUUUGUCUACAUGCACCCCUUUAGAACAUACCACAAACCCUACGAAGUCUAUAUGAUCUAAGGCAAACACUUAGCAUGAUUAUCAUACAAACUUUCCUUCCUAAGGGUUUCUAAGACUUGCCUAACAUGUGAGUCAUGAUCUUCUAAAGACAAGCUAUAGAUAAGGAUGUCAUCAAAAUAAACUACUACAAACUUGCCAAUGAAAGGUUUAAGAACAUGGUGCAUGAGUCGCAUGAAGGUACUAGGAGCAUUAGUUAAGCCAAAAGGCAUAACUAACCACUCAUAUAAACCAAAUUUGGUCUUAAAAGCGGUUUCCAUUCAUCCCCCAAUUUAAUUCGAAUUUGAUUAUAACCAUUCUUAAGAUCAAUUUUGGAAAAUAUUUUAGACCCAUGUAAUUCAUCCAACAAGUCGUCUAAUCUUGGUAUGAGAUGUCUAUACUUGAUGGUUAUCUUAUUUAUAGCGCGAUAAUCCGUACACAUCCUCCAUGUCCCAUCCUUUUUAGGGACAAGGAUUACAGGCAUAGCACAUUGGCUCAUGCUAUCUUGUACCCACCCCUUAGCUAUUAAACCCUCAACUUGUUGUUGAAUUUAUUUUGUCUCAGUUGGAUUGGUCCUAUAGGCAGGCCUCUUUGGUAAAGAAGCAUCGGGUAUAAAAUCAAUUUGGUGCUCAAUGCCCCUUAGAGGAGGUAAUCCUUUUGGGGGGUCUUGAAAAACAUCAUUAAAUUCCUUUACCAAAUUUGCCAAACUAUGAGGACUAUCUAACUUUAUCUCAUUCUCAAGAGUCCUAGGAAUUACUAUAAACAUAUUCUUUUGGGAAAGCAUUACCUUUUUGACUUCUUGGUGGGAAAUGAGAAGGCUUCUCUUUGUUUUUGCUUUUCGGGUCUCUCUCUUUUUCUUUCAUCUUAAUUUGGUCCUCAUGGACUUCCUUUGGUGAAAGAGAUUUUAAUGUGACCUUAUGCCCAUGGAAAUUAAAAUUAAUUUUGUUGGUAAGGCCAUCAUGAAUUGUUUUUCUAUCAAAUUGCCAUGGCCUACCUAAAAGCACACAUAAUACCUCAUCCUUAUAUUUUCUAAUGGAAAAGGCUAUGAGGACUUGUUUGCUCACUAUAAUUUCCCCUUCUUCACUUAGCCAUUGAAUCUUAUAGGGCUUGGCAUGAGAGAUAGUAGACAAGCCAAGUUUAUCUACUACUCUUGUGCUAGCCACAUUUGCACAACUACCUCCACUAUUAAAGAACACAACUUAUCAUUGAUGAGACAUCUAGUAUGGAAAAGAUUUUCUCUUUGUAUUUCAUCAAAGGGUUUCAAAACUUGGACUAGCAUACGUCUCACCACUAAUAAGUCGCCUUCACAAGGUGUUUCACUCUCAUUUUCACUAGAGGAUCUAGAGGUAUUGGGAGACCUAGAGUGUUGGGAACUAUGAUCACUAACAACUACCCCUUCAUGCACCAUCAUGUUACACUUAGAAGGACAAUUAGAUGCAAUGUGACCAUAGCCUAAACAUUUAAAACAUUUUCUAUUUGAAGUUUUAGAUGGAGAUUUAGGAUUGGAAGGUGAAGGUUUAGAAUCUCUAGCUUUGUAAGUGGACUCUUUAAAAUUUGAAGGAAAAGUUGAAGAAGAUUUGUUUUUGUUUUUCAAAGAAGAGUGGUAAAAGCCAUCAUUGUGAGGUUUUUGAAAAGAAGCUUUCUUUGAAAGUUGUGAUUCUACCUUGAUGGCAAGGUGAACCAAAUUUUCUAAAGAAGAAUAUUCAUGCAAUUCUAUCACAUCUUGAAUAUCUCUCUUUAAUCCACUUACAAAUCUAGCCAUCUUUGACUCUUCACUUUCAUGCAUGUUAAUCUUAAUAAGCAUCCACACUAAGUGUGCCUUGAUGAAACCUUUGGAGUUUUAACAAAAAGUCUUUCCUAUAAUGUUGAGGCAUAAAUCUAGCGUGCAUGCAUUGUUUUAAAUCCUCCCAAGAGACCACGGGUUGUCUCUUGUUUAAACUAAUGUCCAUGAGAGUUUUGUGCCACCAUUGCAUGACAUAGUCCAUAAAUUCUAAGGAGACUAAUCUAACUUUUUGGUCAUUUUGUACCUCGUGUACAUUAAAAAUUUGUUCUACUUUAGCCUCCCAGCCUAAAUAUACAUUAGGAUUACCAUCUCCACUAAAACUAGGUAAUUUUACAAAUGGAAAAUAAGGCUUUGCCACAUUUUGGCGCCUAUCUUCAUAAUGUUGGUGUCUCCUACAUUUGGUUUCUUCAUCAUAGCCACCAUAAUUGUGAGAACUUCUUAAGUCAUAUCUAUGAUGAUGUCUUCUUUGUCUUGGAGACCUUUCAUGGUGCAUUUCCAAUCUUUGGAGUCUUUCCUCGAAUUGUCUCAUUUCUUCCUCUUUUUGUGCAAUUGUCUUUCUAGCUUCCUUCAAUUCUCCAAUUAGGAUAGCUUUUUGAGGAAAAUGUUGUUUAGAUGAUUCACCACUAGAAAGAUGAUCCAUAUUAUCAAACAAACACAAAACACAAUGAACAAACAAUUAGAAGAAAACAAGUUAGAUGGCAAAAAUUGCUCACGACCAAAGAAGAAAAGAUUAAACAACUCCAAGAAAAUUUUACUUCCCUUAACCAAAGUCUCCUUGUGGAUUCGGUAAAUCUCAAGUGAAAGAUGCCAAAGCAAACCACACUUGCUCAAAGCCAAAUCACCAUAAAACUUUAAGGAAGAAGAAAAGACAAACAAGAAAAGUGUAAAACAAGAAAGGCUAAACCAAAGUGACAAAAGAGAUGUGACAAAACUUAGAAAUAAAAGACAAACAAGAAAAGAACAAAAAAAACUCAAAGAACCUUACUAAACCUUUAACUAUGACACUUUUGAACUAGAAUAUUGUUCAAGCAAAAGGAUACAAAAUUCCACAAAGUAGAAAACAAUUUGUCAAUCAAGUUGAAUCCAAAAGUGUGAAAAAUGAAUUUCUAAACCAAUUAAUAAGCAAGAUGCCUUUAGAAACAAUUGCUCACUAUUCUGGAAACAAAUACCCACUGUUUUGACGUUAAUUAGGUACUGUUUUGGGUAUUAUAAAACAAAACCUUUGCUGUUUUUUUUUUAUCCUAAUUGCAUCAACCAAAGUUUCAAGAACAUUCAAUUUCACAACAAAAAUUUUGGUGGAUUCAAGACAAUUGAACACUUGCAAUCAUAUGUUUGGAACUUAACAUCAAAUUGUACUAAAACAAAGUUCUAAUAGAAUUGGAAGAGUCACAAUCAAAAGUAAGCAAGAAGAAUCAAAAUAAGAACACCUAGAACACUAAAGAACAUAUAACACAAAGUAAAAGCAAGAUCAAUAAAAAGGCACAACAAGAAACAUAUACAAAACAAAAAAUGCAAUGAAUAUAACAAGGGAAAAAAAUUGCACAAGAAUUAAAGGUGCUGGAAAAUUAAAAACAAAAAUGUAAUGAUAAGAAAGUAAAGAAACUUGAAUGUAAAUUGCUUGAAUUAAAAGUGCCAAAUCAACUCAAAAAGAAGAACAAACCCAUGGCUCAUGAUACCACAUGACGUGAGUUGAAUCAUGAAUAGACACUUUCAAGAACUAGGAUCAAGAUUCAUUAACAAUUCAAGAACAUAAAAUCAAGAACCCAUAACCAAAUUGAAAACCCAUUAAAGAAGAUGAACCGAAUACAAAUCACUUAAACCAAAUGGAAACCCAUGAACCGAUUGAAAAUUCAAUUGGAAGCACAUGAAACGAUUAGAACUACAAGAAAAUAGUCCCAACCGUUCAAAAUAAGAAACAAACAAGUUCUACCAAAUAGAAAUUAAGAACAACAACAAAACAUGUUUUAAAGUUUUGAUAUGACAUUGAAAUGGAAGAAGAAGAUGAAAGGAGAAACUUAUGUGGUUGUUGACAUGGGAAUGGUCACGCCACUUGAAGGAUGAUUGACUCCUAGAUGAGUGAGAGUGCCGCCACUUGAGAGUUCCCAAAACUCAAGAUAAGACUAAGAGAAGGAGACAAGUCUCACACAAAUCUGUCUCAAUUUGAGUAGAGUUUCUUUACUUCAAAAUUCAAUCUAAUGUGUCUUUACAAAAACCCAAGCUCCUCUUUAUAUAGAAAUAGAGGACCGGUCAUGAAUAGGCAAGAUAUAUGAGAAGGCUUUGAAAAUGAAGAGGCAAGGUACAUGAAAAGGCAUUUGCAAAUGUCGCCCCUUUUAAGUCACUACCUAUUCUAGAAAAAAAAUGACUUUUCCUACUACUUCCCUUUUAAUGUUUUAUCUUGAAUCUAUUCUAAAGAUAUUACAAAAAGAGACAUUAAUUGAUGUCCAUCACCUAAUGCUUGUGCCUUGCUUCUUGUAAUCCUUUGAGGCAUAAUAGAUGAAGUACUCAUAGGUUGGGUUUGGGCCUCACAUUGGGCUUGAGUUUGUUGAUAUUGGGCUUCAAGUGUCUUCUCUCCUUGAUCUACGUCACUGCUCACCGCAUCCAAAGCAAGUAUACUUAUUAGUAUUGAAGUCACUUAGCUUCUUGGAAUUGUACCUUCUGGAAGAUUGGUGUUUGUUGCUGCUCUUUCUCAAGAAUUUGCUAAACUUUUUUUACAACAAGCUAAAUGUAUCUUCCUCACUAUCACUUGAGUCUUGACACCUUCUAUUUCUAGCUGUUUUCAAAGCUAUGCCUUUGUUGUGCUUGUCCUCAUUUUCUUGGACAUACAAUCAGUUCAUUUCUAAUUUGUGCUCCCUCAGCUUACUAGACAAAGAGGCAAUAAACAUUGAGGUUAAAUCUUUUGAUUCUGAUAUGGCAGUAACCUUUGGCUACCAUGUUUUGUCCCGACAUUUGAGAAUCUUUAUAUUUAGUUCCUUUUCCUCAAAGGUCUUCCCAAGGCCUAUAAGAUGAUUCACAAUGUGAGAGAAUCUUUUCUACACUUCAGAUAUAGAUUCACCCUUCUACAUUCUAUAACUGAUUGAAUUAUUUUUUUCCUCUUGUUAAGCACUUUUUUAAUCUGUUGAACAGUUUUUCAAUUAAUUGAUUGUAUAUGAAUUUCAAACUGACUUGAAUCUUUUUCAAAUUUUUUGAAAAGCAAUUCAUCCUCUCUUGUUUUUGGCCAACGAUUCUAACAGGGAGAGAAUCAAUAAAAGUGUUAUUGAACCUUUUAUUUUGUUAAGUACUUGAUGUACAUAUUUUCUUUGACGAGCAGACACUAAACUAUGUUAAUUACUGGUUAUAGUAAACAUAAAUACUAGUUAGUCAAGUGAUAUUUAGCUAUGUUGUAAAAUUUGCACCUGACUUGAUCCUACUAAGCUAGAUGAGCUAAGCAUAAAGUGAGUUUUUAACUAUAUGUAUCUGAUUAUAUUUAUUAUAAGUUUUUUUUUCUUCAAGAGAAAUGUUUUAAGCCUCAUCAGAUGAAACAUGUAAAAAUAUAUGUGUAGAAAGUUUAGUCUUAAGCAUCAGGUAUACAUCAAGGAUAGUAGAAGAAAUAAUCAUAGUCUAAUUUUAAGUCUGAAUAGAAAAGAAAAUAUCAUAAACAAUUAUUUCACUUGAAUUAGUCAAGUUUGUUUGAUAUAAUACAACAGAUGAAAGAAUCUUUGAUAUGAUUGUGUUACGAACAAAAUUCUCCACUUAAGUGUCAUAAAUUAAAAGAGACUUUUGCAAAAGGUCGUUAAAUUUAUUUAAAUCACAAUUCAACUCCCUCUUGUUGUGAUUUUCUUAUUUUUCACAUAUACCCAUCUCCUUACAAAAAAUAAUAUCAUAAAGGUAAAAAAGAGACAAGACUAACUUCGAUUCUAGUUUAGUAUGCAUGAAUAUCAUAUGGGUGCAAACAACAAUGCAAAGAAAGUUAAAACAUAAAUGAAGAUGAAAAGUGCAAUCUUGUGUUAUAAAGCAAUAAUGAACUAAUACAAAAGUAAAAUAGUCAAGCUAGCAUGAUAGGAUCACCAAGAAAUGCACUAAACUUUCCCUCUAUAGUGGACAAGAUAAUAUAUAGUUAGUUAAAAUAGAAAAAACAAGAAUUAAUUAACUAACAAGACAAUGCUUGAUUCUGAAUAACAUAGUCUCUCAUUUUUCUAAAUAGUCUCCCACUAGACACUAGACAAAUAUUAAGAAAGAGAAUAGAACAUGAAACUUUAAUUUAUCUUUUAGGCCUAAACAACGUCCACUUCCACUAGUCGAUCUAAUAACUACCACGAUAUAGGAUUUUCGAACAAAGAGAAAAAAAUUAACUUUGAAACUGCUAGCAAUACAUUAGAGAUGGAUAGUAUUCUUGCCGGUUGACCUGGUCGCCUGUUGACUUCAAAGACAAGCUCUGGCUCCGUCUAUCUCUGGUGGAUUCUGUGCUUCCCUUUGGAUGUUGGAACGCGGCUCCAUUGAGAUAGAAGGGGCCUUACCUAUUGAUUGCACUUCCACGAUCAAGUCAGUACAGGGCUUAUAGAAACAAGAAGUAAGUGAGUAGUUUGAGUCUUAGAAACAACGUACCUUCACCUGGGAUCUCAAGUCCCUUUUAUUAUACUACCUCUAUGCUACCUCUUGUAACAACCUUCUCUCACAAGAAUCUUAUCUCGAGUGAAAGCAUGUUUAAUGGGAGAAGAGUCUGUUACAAUGCGCACAAUCUUAGUGCUGCAACUGCACAAAAUCUUAUCUACUUGGAGUUCAUAAAAUCUUAACAGAAUAACCAUCAGGGUACCAACCCAUGUACCAGCAUCAGGGGUCCAAUCUGUUUCACGUAGGCGCCCUCAGUGUGGCGCUACGCAUUAUACAUGCAACUUACUUACCGUGUCGUACCACACAUGGGCUUAGGUUUAAAGAGAAUAUUUUACUUGUGCUAGACACCACAUGUACUAAACGUAACCCUAUGUUCACAAAUACUCUUAAUUAGUAGUUUUAUGCUUACAUAUAAAAGAUUACUUCAAUUAUGCCAUACUGACCAAACUAGAUCCAACCACGUGGCCCAUUUUACUGACUCAACAGUUGAGCUGACCUGCUUACACCAUGCAUCGAGAUUCGACCCUCGAGCACUGAGCCCUGAGCACUCUAUAUAGUACAUAAGCCCCCCAGUCUCGAGCUGAGCUUGCUUCAGCGAAGAAACUAUCGAGUGCUCUGGUGGCUAACACAACAGUUUCUCAAUGGGUAGGUGAUAACCCAGUAAACCUUAACUAGCUUAAGCCAAUGCAUGCCUUAAUUAACUGGUGAUAAUAUAACUGACAACCUUAUCAACGUCAUUGAUUAAGCAUGGUAAAUCAUAGUGCUCUCGGCAGAACUAUAUUAUGGACGAUCUGUACCUUCUGGCUGCAAAGGAUGUUUCACUUGCUCGAGCACUAAAUAGCUACGUGAGCAGGGAAUUAAUUUGGUCGCGUAGGACUUUGUGCACUUGGAAAGUUUAACCUCUUUCCUCACACAUCCUUCCCUGUGAUCAGGGGUGACUUGAGCAUCUGACCUGGGGCCGAUCUCUACACCAAGUCUACCCUUAAAUGGCAUUUGGCGGUUUAGAGUAUCUGACUUGAGUGUUGGCUUACACAGUAAGUCUACUUUUAACACCUUCGUGGUGCAACUCUACCCCCAUAGGGGUAUCUUGAUUUUUUUCCACAAAGUGCCCAAGCUCGGAUGGUUUCACCAACGUCAAGGUGGGUUGCUCUCUAUACCUUUAGCUGUGCGCUUCUUAGUUACCGUUAAUUGUGGUUUAGUACCUCCUGGACUCAGAAUCUUACUGAAACAGGUUAUCUUUGCUAGUUUAAGCAAAACAAUCUUAGUUAUGGCUAGCUAUGAUUCUGGACACCUGAGUUCAAAGUCUUACUGAGCUUGGGUCGUUCCAUCUGAAUCACCAUAUACCUCGACGCUCCUAUGCUUGGAAUCUUACCAAGGAAACGCCAUCUUUCUUGGGAUAAGCCACAAAUGCACUUCUUUCAUAUCUUUUUUCCUUUAGGACAUCUGACCUGGGUGUCAAUUCACACGCCAUGUCUAUCAUAUUAAUGCCUUUUGCUUGGACUUUUUGACUUGGGUGUUAGCUUACAAUGCCAAGUCUCCUUUUAAACAUCAAGGUAGGUUGGCUUACCCGCCCUCUAAUAAGUAAUUUAGUUGGAGUAUCUGACUUGAGUGUUGCUUACACUCCAAAGUCUACUCUUCAACCUCCAGGUAGGUUGGCUUACCUGCCCUCGGAUAAACAAUCUUUCAUUCAGUUGGAGUAUCUGACUUGAGUGUUGGCUUACACUCCAAAUUCUACUCUUCAACCUCAAGGUAGGUUGGCUUACCUGCCCUUGGAAAAAUAAUCUUUCAUUAAAUUGGAGUACCUGACUUGAGUGUUACUUACACUCCAAAGUCUACUCUUCAACCUCGAGGUUGGUUGGCAUACCCUGCCCUUGGAUAGAUAACUUUAAAUUCAGUUGGAGUAUCUGACUUGAGUGUUGGCUUACACUCCAAAGUCUAUUAUUUAACCUCGAGGUAGGUUGGCUUACCUUCCCUCGGAUAAACAAUCUUUCAUUCAGUUGGAGUAUCUGACUUGAGUGUUGGCUUACACUCCAAAGUCUACUCUUCAACCUCAAGGUAGGUUGGCUUACCUGCUGUUCCGCCCGGUUGACCGGGACGUCUUCGUGCGCGACCUCAACCGUCAGCUAGGGACUCCUUCCCACUGGUUGCCUGUGGAUUCCUGCAAAGAAGAGGACAAAGAGGCGCCCUAGCGGCCGUGUGCACUCCGACGCUCAAGUCAGCCAGCAAGAAGCACCAAAACUGUCCACCUACGUCUCUGAGCACCGCGUAUGGCACUCUGAAGGUGGUAAAAGAACUGUGUAUAUGUGUGUGUGUUGUCUCUUUCAGGCAAAAAUAUUCCCCAGUCACUUGUACGUAACCUUGAAGCACGAGCAAGCAACUAGAGAGUUCUCUGGUCAAUUUGCCAAAAGUUCCAACCCUUUUUCCAACAUUCCCUGCGCUAUUUAAACUACCCAAGCAUUUAAAGCGUCUUAAAGCGCUUUUAAUCACAAACGUAACGCACUCAUUAAAGCGUUUAAUUAGAAAACGUAGCGCAUUUAAGACGUUGAAACGCUCGGGAGCCAUUAUAGUACCUGAAUGUUCGAAAGGGAAACUGUAUUGAAUGACUUUUAAUUACCUGGCACCUGACUAAAGGGUGUUUCUAUUCUGGCAUGGCUGUCGUACACGUGGAGGGCCUCAUGACGCCAUGACUCCAUCUGGGGGCGCUUCUGCCCACCUGGAGACGUUUCUACGUGUGAGUCCUCCUGCUGGGAGUGCUACUGUGCUAGGGGUGACUUUUUGGGUGCCAACUCAUGCGCCCAAUCAUCUAGUCACUCACUCUGAGAGCGUAUCUGCCUUCCUCUCGCACCCUGCACCCGGUUACCCUGGGCGUGACCUUCCUCUUGGGUCGUAUCUGUCCCGAAGGCGUCUCUGGGGCGGCAGGGAUACUUCACGAGUCAGGCUGCCCUACCCAGAUGCUAUCACUAUGGCCUUGAAGCCACCUUUUCCUUCUCUUUAUCACUUUCCCGAGCUAUCGGGACCUGAGGUCUUCCCACGGUGUCGCUCCCUCCAUGGUCUUUCCUACCCAUGGGUAUCGGGGAACCACACUGUGAUUGCCUUGUUUUUACACUGUUUGACCUGGCGACGCCUUAGUUGGGCGACACCUUCACCUGGGCGACGCCUUCACCUAGGCGACGCCUUGCCUUGGCGACGCUUCCUCUUGGCGAUGCCGGCACUUGGCGUCUCUCCACCUAGGCGACGCCUUGCGUUGACUUUGACUCUUCAGCCGUUGACUUUGACCUUGAUUUGGUCAACGCCCGGAUACGGGACGGUACACCUGCCCUCGGAUAAACAAUCUUUCAUUCAGUUGGAGUAUCUGACUUGAGUGUUACUUACACUCCAAAGCCUACUCUUUAACCUCGAGGUAGGUUGGCAUACCCUGCCCUUGGAUUGAUAAAUUUAAAUUCUUUCAGAAUACUUGAACUCAUAAUUUUACUGAGACAAAGGUCGUCUUUCUUAGCUCAAACCAAACGAUCGCAAGCUACGAUUCAGGGUACCCAAGCUCAGAGUCUCACUGAGCAAAAGGUCCUCUCGCCUAAAUCGCUACGAGUCUCUAUGCUCCCAAUCUUGGAAUCUUACCAAGGGGAGGUUGUCUUUCCCAGCUCAAGCCAAACGAUGGCGAGCUACGAUUCAGGAAACCCGAGCCCAGAGUCUUACUGAGCAAAAGGUACUGUUGCCUGAAUCGCUACGACUCUUUAUGCUCCCAAUCUUGGAAUCUUACCAAGAGGAGGUUGUCUUUCCCAACGAUGGCGAGCUACGAUUUAGGGUACCUGAGCCUAGAGUCUUACUGAGCAAAAGGUCUUCUCACCUGAAUCGUUACGAGUCUCUAUGCUCCCAAUCUUGGAUUCUUACCAAGAAAAGGUUGCCUUAUCUUAAAACAAUAUGCACAGAGCGCUUGCUCGGGUAUUCUACCAAGACAGGUCACCUUACCUAGCAUUAAACAAUCAGAACUUUAGAUCAUCAGAACUCAAAAUCUUACCAAGAAAAGGUCGCCUUAUCUGAAAACAAUCUGCAUAGAACGCCUGCUCGGGUAUUCUACCAAGACAGGUCGCUUUACCUAGCUUUAAACAAUCACCUGCACACAAGACGCCUACUCGGAUAAUCUUACCAGGGCGGGUUGUCUUAUCGUGUCCUAACAAAUAAACAAUCUUAACGCAGUAUCUUUCAAGAAUAUCUUUUUCAUUGGGUGACCUCAAUAAAAAUCCUGAAAUAGAACUUGAGGCUUGCCGCGUUCCCUGCCUGAUGAAUGGCUCCAUCGUCUUGAAUUUCCAGCCAAUAGGCUUCAUCGCCCAAUACUUCUAUGAACCUGUAUGGUAUAAAAGUUUGGUGUUGUACUGCCCUUUACCGUCUAGCUACGAUAGGACAUAAUCAUUUGUCAAUCUCGACACAUGAGAUCUAGCAGAUCUGUCAAAGUGUUUGAUCUUUGUUGCAUAUUGUAGAUCGUGAACUAGUACACCAGGUAAGUUUCCACCCAAGAAAGAGGGUGGGUCACCAACGGACGCGCUUAAAUACCAAGUCUUUCCUUGCCAGAACUUUCCUUAUCUUAAAACAAUAAUAAUUAUAUUUUUCAUCUUCAGACUAAUAUCACAACAGACUCAAAAGAUAAUAAUCAUUUAUCUUUGGAAUAACAUCACAACAGAUAAAAUAUCUCUUUAUCUUUUAUCUCCAGAAAAAUAUCACAACAGAUAAAAUAUUUCUUUAUCUUUUAUCCUCAUAAUAAUAUCACAACAGACUUAAAAGAUAAUAAUAAUUUAUCUUUGGAAUAACAUCACAACAGAUAAAAUAUCUCUUUAUCUUUUAUCUCCAGAAUAAUAUCACAAUAGAUAAAAUAUAUUUUUUUCUUUUAUCUCCAGAAUAAUAUCACAACAGAUAAAAUAUCUCUUUAUAUUUUAUCUUCGGAAUAAUGCCGCAACAGAUAAAAUAUUCCUUUAUCUUUUAACUUCAGAAUAAUAUCAUAACAGAUAAAAUAUUUCUUUAUAUUUUAUCUUCAGAAUAAUAUCACAAAAUAUAAUAUCACAACAGAUAAAAUAUAAUAUCACAACAGAUAAAAUAUUUCUUCAUCUUUUAUCUUCGGAAUAAUAUCGCAACAGAUAAAAUAUUCCUUUAUCUUUUAACGUCAGAAUAAUAUAACAACAGAUAAAAUAUUCCUUUAUAUUUUAUCUUCAUAAUAAUAUCACAAAAUAUAAUAUCACAACAGAUAAAAUAUUCCUUUAUCUUUUAACUUCAGAAUAAUAUCACAACAAAUAAAAUAUUCCUUUAUAUUUUAUCUUCACAAUAAUAUCACAAAAUAAAAUAUCAAAAUAGAUAAAAUAUUCCUUUAUCUUUUAACUGCAGAAUAAUAUCACAACAGAUAAAAUAUCUCUUUAUCUUUGUUACCUUUUCUGGGUUGACAAACAUCUGAGCCGAGCUCACGACUGACCUCUUGUGCCCAAACACCGAGAUGACCUCUCCCAAACACUUGUGUCGAGAUGACGAGCUCUCCUGCAUGGUACACAUGUCACCCGUCUUACUUGCCACUAGGUAAUUAUUUACUCACGGAGCGCCUAUACUUGAGUGGUAGUACUAACACCGAGCUAGGUUGACUUACCUGUGUUGUGCUUAAGCAAAUCAAUCCCACGCAGUGCUUAUGCUCGUACUUAUACCGAACUAGGUUGACUUACCAUGUGCAAAUUCAAAUAAAUCAACAAAGCUAAAUGCCUCAUCUUCCAAGAACAAAUUUAUCACACAUCGAUCAAAAAGAAAGCAUUAAGCAAGAAUAUCAUAGCUGAAAUACAACUCGAGGUUUACCACAUUCCACGUGGGCUCAACUAGUCAGCCUUGGCUUCUUCAUUUGCCGCUUGGAAGGCUCUCAUUGUCUUCAUGAUAUGCUGCAAAGUGGGGUCCUCGCUUCCUUCAAAUCCCAGUGGACCUUGCCUCAUAUUCCUCAUUACGUCAGAAAACUCAAACACAACUUUGGAUGGGAUCAAGUUUUAUCGGGCCCCACGGUGGGCGCCAAAUGUUCUUGUCAGUUGACCUGGUCGUCGGUUGACUUCGAGGACAAGCUCUGGCUUCGUCUAUCUCUGGUCGAUUCUGUGCUUCCCUUUGGAUGUUGGAACGCGGCUCCAUUGAGACAGAAGGGGUCCUACCUAUUGAUUGCACUCCGACGAUCAAGUCAGUACAGGGCUUAUAGAAACAAGAAGUAAGUAAGUAGUUUCAUUCUUAGAAACAACGUACAUUCACCUGGGAUCUUAAGUCUCUUUUAUAGACUACCUCUAGGCUACCUCUUGUAACAACCUUCUCUCAUGAGAAUCUUAUCUCGAGUGAAAGCAUGUUUAAUGGGAGAAGAGUCUGUUACAAUGCGCACAAUCUUAGCGCUACAACUGCACAAAAUCUUAUGUCCUUGGAGUUCAUAAAAUCUUAACAGAAUAACCACCAGGGUACCAACCCAUGUACCAGCAUCAGGGGUCCAAUCUAUUUCACGUAGGCGCCCUCAGUGUGGCGCUACGCAUUAAACAUGCAACUUACUUACCGUCUCGUACCACACACGGGCUUAGGUUUAAAGAGAAUAUUUUACUUGUGCUAGACACCACAUGUACUAAACGUACCCCUAUGUUCACAAAUACGCUUAAUUAGUAUCCCUAUGCUUACAUAUAAAAGAUUACUUCAACUAUGCCGUACUGACCAAAUUGGGUCCAACCACGUGGCCCAUUUUACUGGCCCAACAGCUGAGCUGAACUGCUUACAUCAUGCACCAAGAUCUGACCCCCGAGCACUGAGCCUUGAGCACUCUGUCCAGUACAAAUAGUGUUUGAAGAAAAAUUCUUAUUUUGUAAUGCAUUUAACAUGGAUUAUUGAUGAGCAUGUAUUUAUUCACACUCAAUAGCUUUAAUCAUGGAUUAUUGGACUAUAAUAAUAAAUAAAUUCAUUGUAUUAAUUUAGAUUCAUAUAAUUGAGUUUAUUUGGGCCUUAACUAUUAUUAUUGUUAAUUUUGUGUUUUUAGAGUAAAUUAUUCGGAGGAAGCAUCUACCUUUGUGAAUGGGCCAAAUAUGCAAAAGUCCAAGUUGCUUCUUGAACCAAAACAGGAAACAAAUUCCGAGGAGAAGAAAGAGAAAAUAAAAUCUACAAUAUCUCAAAAACAGAAUUGGAAGCAAAUCCUCUACAAAAUACAAGAAUUCUGGAAACUUGGAAACUGUUAACAAAAUAUAAACUACAAUAUUUUCCCAAGAUCCUUGAGUAGGAAAGCCUAUAAAAGGGCACAAGCAUCAUGGAGAAAGGAGAGAGCUUCAUGGGGUUUUCUUAGUUUAUUUUCUUCUUUGUAAUUCUUUUGUUUUGCCUCCGCAUGGAAGGCUAAACCUUUUUGGUUGGUUCUUUUGUAAUUCCCCAUUGAGUUAUGAGGUUUUGUUCAAUAAAAGUUUCGAUUUUUAAUUCUCUAUAGCAGUUAUUUUAAUAGUCUAAUAUUCUGGAAAACUAGUUUUUGUGAGAGGUUGUACUUGAACGCAUGAUUGACAGUCAUCCUUAUCUUAAACUUUGGUUUCUUAGUUAGUUCACAUUGUUCUAAUUAAUUUCUUGGGCGCAUGAUUCAAGAGAGAGGAGGUAAGCAUUCCCAUGGAGUAUACGCGUGGAACAAAGUGGGUAUUGAUUAAACCAGUAGACGCAUGUUUUACUAGUGAGUUUCAGUUAAAUUAGAUUGGCGAAUGUUCAAUCUAGUUUAACUCUGUUGGAGGAUUGAGAAAAGAUUAAUCUUUAGAGAACCUGUGAAGAAUUCAAUGGUUCUCUUUUAUAUUUUCUGCACAACUAUCUCAACCCCUUUUUAUUAUUAUUGUUAUUGUUAAUUUUUAUUCCUUGCGGAUAGAUUCUAAACACUGAUCUCCUGAUUUUACUAUUGGAUUCAUUGUGAGACGACUUGGGGUUAUUUGACCAUAAUUAUACUAUUAUUUGUCUAGUGUUAGACAAGUCUACACUAGAAUCACAUUUAAUUUGACUGUUAAACGACAUCUAUCAAUUAUAGUUAUGAGUAAUGCUAAAUAUGAGAGUGAAAUAAUUGUGUAUAUAGUUAAGUCAACAUAUAAGAGGUUAGAGAAUAGGAUUGAAAUGCACAUUUUAUUAUGGAAACCUAAAACUAUCACUACUAGAAAAUCAUUAAAUAGAAAUCAAUUUUAGAGAAAAAAUAAUAAUUAAUUACUAUAUUGACUACAUUAGAAAGUAUUUUAGAGACUAUAAAUAUUAUUGAUAUCUAAAGUAGUUUCUAAAUUUAUAAACUAGUUUACAAAUUGGUAUCUAAUUAGCUAAUUGGUAUCUAAAUAUGAGAGUGAAUGGUGUUGCUUAAUUCGGUUGCCACGAAAGAUAACUUGGAAAAGCGCGGUGUCUCUGUUGAUAACAACCUUUGUUGUUUUCGCAGGGUGGAAGUGGAGUCAGCAAGUCAUUUGUUUUUUGUAUGCAUGAUUGUUUGGCUAGUUUGGAAACAGUGUUAUGCAUGGAUGGGAUAACGUCGGUAGAUCAUGUUGAUCCAGUUUCACACUUCUUGCAUUUUAAUUUAUUAAAUGCUCCUGUCCAGGUAAAUGUUGUUUGUGGUAAUGUCUGGAUUGCAAUUGUUAAUGAAAUCUGGAAGCACAGGAAUAAUCAUAUUUUCAGAGGUGGAGUGAUUGAUCAUUCGGAAUUGUUUACCUUAGCUCAAUUAAAGGUUUGGUCUUGGGUAGCAUCUAAAUUUUUUUCUGCUCGCUUUACUUAUUCUGAGUGGUGCAUUUAUCCUGUGGCCUUUAUGUUUUUGAUUAAGUGAGCUUAUGCAAGGUUUCUUCCUUUAGCUAGGUUAAUUGUUGUUUUUAGUUUUGUAAGGAUCUUCGGUUGGUAUUGUUGUAAUAUGAGUAUGUAUAAAGGUUGGAUCACUCCUAAAGUGAUUCAUAUUUAUUCAUUUUUUGACUGAUAAAAAAAAUAAAAUAGCUCUGCAUGAGGCAUAUUAUAGUCCAUAUAAUGAGGAGUUUGCAAACAUAAUAACAGGAAAAUGAUUUAUAUAGAACAGCUUUUUGAAUGAGCAAUGCGGAUGGAAUGGGCAUGCUGAACUAAAACAUGUUAUUAAUUCAUCAUUCAAAUAUUACAUUAGAUAAACUAGUUUCAGUAGUGUCCAUUUUCUACUAGUUUCUUCCCAACAAGCCCACAAUUUAGUGCUUCCCUUGGAAUUUUUCCAACUUUGUGGACACCCUCAGCAAAAAUCACACCCAUUCCCAUGUGCAAAUGUGGUUCAAUGUGGCAAUGGAAGGCCCAAACUCCUGGAUUAUCUGCCUUAAACCUUAAUGCAGUCCAACCAUAUGGAAAUAUCACUGCUGUGUUCCUCAAUGGUGCAUGUGUCAAGUUGAAUUUCUUCUCAUCACCUUGUUUGAAUUUGCCUUCUCCAUACCCCAAAACCCAAAAGUCAUGUCCAUGCAAGUGCCAAGGGUGAAUCUCACUACCAUUUCCACUCAAUUGAUUUGCAUUUUGCAAUAUCACAUCAACAACCUCGUUAAGGUUGAACUUGUACACCCCAUUGCCAAUGGUUGAAUUAGGGUUCACAGGAGGGUUGAAAAUGUCAUAGUCUUGAGGGAAGGUAACAGGUGGAGGUGUUUGAUCAAAAGCAUUGUUUAGUUUGAACUUGAUGGAGCCCAAGUAAGGGGUUGCUGGCAAUGUUAGGGACACAUUGUUAAUAGCCCAUUUUGUGAAUCCAGCAACACGGUUUUGGGUGUUGAGGAGAAAAAUUGUACGAUCAGAACGUUUUGGAGGUUGUGGGGUUCCCAUCUUGGCAAUGAUUUUCUUGGUGAAUGCUUUGCUACGUUCAAAAUCAUUCCAAAGGGGUGUGAGGGGUGGUGGAGAAGUUGGAAAAACUGAGGCAGAAAUUGUCUUGUAGUUUAGAAUGGUUAGACCUUGUGGUGUGUUAGGUUUUCUUCCUCUAACUCCAAUUGAAAGCCAAUAGUUUUUCUUUGGAUCUUGAUCUGUGCGAAGGAGAACUGAGUAGCUUUCACCAGAAUAAAUAUCCAUAUCAUCAACCACAAAUGGUGUAACGUAGUUUCCAUCAGCUUCCACCACAAUAAGUUUGUGAUUCUGCAUCACAUAUACAAAGUUACAUGAUAGUGUUAGUUGAUGCAUGAAAAUGAAUCUAUAGUUCUGUCAUUUGUGACACACUAGUAGAAUAAUAAAGUGAAAUUGUUUUACCCAUACAAUACCUAAUUUGUCUGGAGUAUUGACACAGGGUGAAUCAGGCACACUUUCAAUUUAAUAAAAGAAACAUUUCCUUUUUUUCUCAUCACUUGCUGCAUAGAUACUCUUCCAUUGUUUUCAUUUCUUUUUUUUUCUAUAUCUGUUUGUACACCCCCCAAAAUUAGAAAUAUAUACACACAUUAAAAUAUGCACUCAAUUAUGUCAAAUUAGUUACUCUAAUGCCAUGAUAAUAUUCUCCGAAUCAGUGGCCAUAACUUUCACGAUGUCCCAGGUCCCGCCAAACCAAACCCGUGGAAUCUUACUGAUAUAUAUUUUUGCCUUUUAUUUUCCUAAGAACACAUCAUUGUCUUUAUCCAGAGUGUUUCAGGGUACCACAACACAACUCAGUGAGUCCCACUCACGCAUGCAUUAAUUUCUAAUUUCCAACUCACUCCAUUAUUUGAAGAACAAAUAAUUGCCUCUAUUGUGUAACAUUCAGAGAAGAAGAAGAAAGAAAGAUUGUAUUGAACUCCAUUAAUUACAGAGGUAGAUCUCAGCUGUAUAUAUAACAGAGACGAAGAGAGAAGUAUAGUCUAUAAGAGACAAAUGUCUAUAAAAAGUACAUCGUCUAGAGGCACCUAUAUAAGCGUCAAUGUAACAAUGUCACUUCCCUUGAUAAGGCGUGUUUCCUCUGUUGUCGUCACUUUUAAAGUACUUUCAUAUUUUAAAAAAAAAAUAUGUUUCUCAUUUAGGCCAGAAUAUAAUAUAAAAUUGGUUUUUAUCACUAAUCUAAAUUUUAG